rnacentral:lncRNA from 1 species
UCAUGAGAUACCUCAAGGAAACUUAUGAGUAUUAUUUAUAUCACCUCGAGGACCAAAAUGUCUUUAUAUCCAAGAGGACAUUGUUGAUUGAAAAAGAACAUAUUCUUGAUGGAGAUAGUAAGAACGUAAUUAAGCUGAGUGAGGUAGGAGAACUUAAUUAUCAUUCCGUAACCCGAGUCUAUUCAAAUUCAAAUGUCUAGCACACAAGUUUCAAUUUUGGAUAAGUUCGACUGAAUAUCUUAUUUUUCAUACGUGAGGAAAAAAAAUUUAAACACACCCAAGAACAUGAAAUCUGCAAAAGAAGUAUAUCUGUAUUACUUCCAAUAACCUAAAGGGGAAAAGGAAAGCAGAACAGAGUAACCAUCAUCUAUGGAUUCCUACAGCAUAUAAUAUGAAGGUAUAGCAAACAAAGUUCCAAGCCAGGUGCUCGUAAAAGGAAUAAUGGGCUCAAUUAUAGCAAAACAGGCAUUUUGUUCUUUCCUCUUCUUCAAGAAAGCAAGGAGAUGAGUAAAGGUUCUAUUUGGAUAAACAUCGUUGGUAUACUAAAUCUACCUACCAAAAAUUAAAUAUUUAAAACAUCAAUUGAUAAAAUUUUGAAUAUAUCAGUUAACGUAUUUGGUAUCAAUCCACAGGUUGAAUUCCGUCGUCGUCCGUACAUAAUAAUCAAGGAAACCGAAAUUAAACCAGUUCAAUUGUAUCUUAACACCCGUUGCUAGCAUUUUUGGAUUGCGAGCAAAGACGUACGUAUGCCUCUGUCAAGUAGAACUCAAUGGUGUUGAAGUGAGUAAUGACACGUAAUCACUGACCGCAUAGACGAAGUCAAGGGAACAUGUAAACAUUUUACUUCCCCAUCCCAAAGUCGGGUUCUGAUUUCGUUUCCCCGCUCGCCUUCGGCUCCGCUCCCACUCUCUCUUUCUCUCCCUCUCCUCGCCGGAUCGUUGCUUCUCUCUGGUCCAUCGCUUCCACCCACCCACGCACCCAAACCCUAAUUAGUCCCUCGAUCCACCAUCGCUACCGCAUAGCUCGUUCCGGAGUAGUUCUUUCCCACCUUCACGGUCUGCUCUAACCCUAAUUCGAAUUCAUCGCAGCAGCAGCACCAGCUGUCGCCGCAGCGGAGGACGCGUCGUCGGCUAUCUAGCGCGCCUCUCACCAUGCCGUCCAUACUCUCCCCGGGUAAGAUCCACCGGUUGGAGCUCGAGAACUUUAAGUCCUACAAAGGGUUCCAGACCAUCGGUCCCUUCUACGACUUCACAGCCAUCAUCGGCCCCAAUGGCGCUGGAAAGUCCAACCUCAUGGACGCCAUCAGCUUCGUGCUUGGCGUCCGCUCCGCCCACCUCCGGGGAGCCCAGCUCAAGGAUCUCAUCUAUGCAUUCGACGACCGCGAGAAGGAGAACAAGGGGAGGAAGGCCUUCGUCCGGCUCGUCUACCUUAUGGCCAAUGGUAUCGAGCUCCAGUUCACCCGGACUAUUACUGGUGCCGGCGGCAGUGAGUAUCGGAUUGAUGGCCGGGUCGUAGGCUGGGAUGAGUACAAUGGCAAACUGAAAUCGCUCGGCAUCCUUGUAAAGGCAAGGAAUUUCCUCGUCUUUCAGGUAACCCAGCUGACAGAAGAAGUUUUACGCUGUUUGAUGUGGUUCUCAUUUCUCGUAGUCUUAAUUUUGCUAAAUCGUGUUUGAGCCUCAAAUUGUAUUGUUCAGUGAUACAGAUAUGUUCUUUGCGUACUUUUCUCAUUUUGAACAGAAUUUACUUCAGGAUUCAGAAGUACAGAGGAAGAGUAGCUGCGUAAGCCAUGUCCCAUUUUUCAGCAUUUUUCAGCUGUAAUAGACCUUUUUCCUGAUCUCUAUUCAACAACGAUAUAGCCUCAACAAAGGAGUCAUAAAAUAUCUGGUUUAGCCUAAACGAAAAGCUAAUGUGGGAAGUUACUAGCAAUUAUUAGGCCUUGAAAAUUGGUUUGCAUAUGCUACAUUUUAUGGAGUAUAGUUGAAUUUAAGAAAAAUCAAGAUGUAUGGUGAAUUUCUUUGGCUGGUUAGCGAAUCCCUGUCCCCUUUCUUUUUUGUGUCUUUUUCUCAUUUUUUUUCCUUUUCUUCUUUUUGUUUGUUGACUGUAUGAUGAAUUGACCUGCAACAUUUUAUCCUUUUUCCCCCUCUAAUCCAAACCUGUUGUACACUUAUUGACAUGAACUGUCUAGAUGUGUUAUCACAGAACAAUGUUUUAUGAUCCUUGCAGAUUGAUAGAAUAGCAAAUAGAUCCACCAAUGCUGAACAGGAAAUUAGCUGGUGGGUCCCUUAUAUUUUUGUUUUCCCAUUGGACAGGAUUACAAAAGCUAAAACAUGAAGGUGUCAAGAGAUUUGUACCUGUUGUGGGGGGAAGGUUUCUAAGUGUUUGCUGGCAAAUUGAGUGACUCAAAUUUGCAAAUGGAAAUAUGAACUUGCCAAGAGAUGAAUACCAAACUUGUUAAUCAGUUUUAAGUAAAAGACUUAAUAAACACACGAAUGAUAUCCUGAGGAUCUGGUUGAAUAAGAAGCGAUUUAAAGUUUGAUAUUCUGAAGGUGGAGUCAAAGGAUCCAGUGGAGGAAAUGUAAGAUCCGGAAGGAAACACUGAGAGCAGGAGAAAUUUUAAGCUCCUUGACAACAAAGAAAAUUGACGUAUAUCAAUUAAUCCUUUUGAACACUUGAAGAAGUGCACAUGGAAGAUUUGGUCAAAUUCUUUGCUUAAAGGGAACAUUUGGCUUCAAUCUAAUGUGUUAUGAGGGCAUGAUCAGAGUUCAGGCCAUGAAGGUGCAAAUUGAAAUGACAUGGGAAGUUUCUAAACAGAUUAAUGUGGGACAACCUGUAACGGUACUAAGUCUCAAGGGGAUUGGGAAUAGAUAGGAAACAGAGAGAAAAAAAAAGAGAAUUUGAUGUAAGCACACUUGAUUCAUAAAAAAAAUUUUAAAAAUGAAAAAUACAAGCUGAGCUAAAGUUCAAACAAAUAACAAAACUUAAGGAGGGAGAUAAAUUACUAACAUGAUUCUUCCCAAAUAGGUCUAGUUAGUUAUUGAGGCUGCUUCAUGGGACACUAGAUAAUCAGCAGUAUGAGUCUUGGUGGAUUGUACAAGGUUUAGGAAAGGUAUUGGACAAGUGGAAGAUAUGUUAGAGAGGUUGGAGAUAAGACAAUAGGUAGUUAUUUAUGUUUCUGAGGCUUUAAGGCAUAUGUGAAGGUGGAAAGAGGAUGCAUAUGAUAAUGUGAAUAGAGGAGAAAAAAACUAAAAUUGAUAGCCUUGGAACCACACCAAGUCCUCUGAACUAACCUUGAGGGAAGAAUGUGGCCUUACACCACUUAUAAAUUGUGGGAGGAGAUAAAUUUAAUUUAUUAUAUGAUGUCCAUGAUCAAUCUAAUUGGCAUAUACUAUUAUAUGCAGAAUAUUUAAUGAAAUUCAUUAAAUAUUUAAUGAAAUUUAUUAUAUGAUGUCCAUGAUCAAUUUAAUUUAAUUUUUUGUUUCAAUAGAAUUUAUAAUCAUGCCCAAUUUAUCAUUUAUUUUGUUUGGUUUAGAUGAAUGAAAAUGAAAAUAUGUCCAACCCGACCCAAAUCUAAGUUUAUCAUAAAUUCUAAAGGAUUCUGUUUGCCUUCUUUCCAUGUUCUAAUGCAAACCCACAAAGUGGCUUGAUUUUCUUCAGAGAUGAUACAUCAAGCAAUUAUUCUGAAAUGCACACCAACAUGAGAAUUUUACACAUUGGAGUAAGCUGGUAAUACAUUAUUUUGGAUGAUAAUUAUCCUUCUAGCAUUAACAUAUCUGAACCAUUUAUGAAUGUGACCAUUGUGGUGGUAAAGAGGUUUCCAUGGAUUAAUGGCAACAUCACAAUUUUAACUGAACACUUUGUGAGCAUACAUUAUCAUGUUUUAGUGAAUAAUUGCAGAUAAAGUUUUGAAGAUUUUGUGGAUGAGAUUUGCAUCAAGUGAAUUUGUUUUGCUAUAUAUAUAUAUACAUAUAUAUAUAUAUAUAUAUAUACAUAUAUAUAUAUAUAUAUAUAUAUAUAUAUAUAUAUAUAUAUAUAUAUAUAUAUNNNNNNNNNNNNNNNNNNNNCCGAAAUAAUCCUGUCAGUAAAAUCAUAGUUAUAUAUAACUUAGCCAUGUUGUUAUAUUUUUCAGGCAGUGCUUGACACUGUUUUGUAUUUUCUAAUUUGUUUCUUAGAACUUGAUUGCUAGGUGGAUUCCUUCUUUAUGCCUUAAUCUAAAUGAACUGAGAAGCUGUUUAUUUGUGCUAGUCACAUGAUAGUGACUUAUGUAGCCACACAAAAGAGAUGCAUUAGUUCGUGUCCAAGACAUCUGUCUUCCACUUGUUUGUUGUUAUUAUUUAUAUUUGUAAAACUUAAAUUAAACUGUACGCUUGGCUUUAGCACUAAGGUGUAGAUCAUGUUACUUUAGAUCUUGUAGUAUUAACAUUUGUGGAACAGGGUGAUGUGGAGUCGAUUGCCUCAAAGAAUCCCAAGGAACUUACAAGUUUGCUUGAACAAAUUUCUGGAUCAGACGAGCUUAAAAAAGAUUAUGAGGAAUUGGAGGAGCAGAAGGCUCGGGCUGAAGAAAAAUCAGCACUUAUUUAUCAGGAAAAGAGAACUGUAGUAAUGGAGCGAAAGCAAAAGAAAGCACAGAAGGAAGAAGCUGAGAAACAUCUCCGCCUGCAAGAAGAGCUGGUGUGUAUAAUUCCAUUUUUCAUUUGUUCCUAUCUCUUGCGUCUUGCUGUUAUGGUUUUCUAUAUCAAGGUGCCUUGAGGCAUCAAUACUUGAAGCAAGACUCUGGCUAGAACAGUGGAACAAAUCUAUAAGUAUUUUAUUCAAGGUGUCUUUAUUAGUCUCAUAUUGACAAUUUAGACAGAAACUUGAUGCCUAUCUAAUUUUGAAUUUUAUUCAUAUUAUAGAAAAUUUUGUUCUUAGUGAAAGAAUCUACAGAUAUGUGGUACACUGUCAACUAUUAUUCUAUAGCAUGCACAUGUUUUUUUUUUUGGCUAGCUGUUUCUGGCAAGCACCUUUUUGAUGAUCCUUUAUCAGAAAUAUACUGCAAUACAAAAGAAGGUGCAUUCACAAACUCAAACACAAUUUAAUACUGUCUCUGUUCAUUAUUGCAUUUGACUCAGUUUUGUAUAAACUCUGCAUGAUAUCAUCUUCAUCUCCAAAUUAGGCAUAUGAGACAUGCCUAUUGUGUUAGUGAGGUAACUUCAGAAGGUUGACAUGCAAGACCUAAACAUAAGUAACAAAUGCAUGUUAUGAUAUUACAUUACUUACCAUGAAUAUCUCAAAAAUCAGCAUGUAUCUAUUAAUGCAUAAGAAUUUUUUUUUUUUUGGUUAUGAUAGAGUAACAAAUGCAUGUUAUGAUACUACAUUACUUACCAUGAAUAUCUCAAAAAUCAGCAUGUAUCUAUUAAUGCAUAAGAAUUUUCUUUUUUUGUUUAGACAAUUUCAUGUUGUCUUGUUCUGUAUUUUCAUGUAGAGUCAUGUAAACAUUCAUGCAAUUUAUCUAAACAAUCAAAAGAAAACUGCUACAUUAGUCAAAUUCACUUUGAUUUAUGAAAUUUCUUAAUACACUUUCCCAUUGGAUAUGAAGGUGAUCACUUUAUUAUAUGGGUAAUUUUGCUUUUUAUUUAUGGAAUUUAACUUCAGUAUUUUUUCAUAAGAUGAGUCUAUGUUCCUAAGUAUCAUAAUAUAUGGAAAUCGUCAUGUCAAGUCUACCGUUCCUUACUAUUCACAUGCAUCCCCUAUCCUCUCCCUACUAGUUAAAAUUCAUGUAUACCACAUAUUUUUAUUAAAAUAUUCUUAUGCAACAUUGACGAAUAAAUGACGUUUGAGAAAAAAGUACACAGAUUAUUUAAAAGAAAUCACACACGUAAACAAAUGAAUUACCAAAGUGCUAUCACUGCAAAAGCAAUCAACAAUUUUAAACCUCUUGAGAGUGGAGUAAGUUCAUAUCUUUCUAUUAUUGAACUGUCCAGUAACAUUUGAGUGCACUCCACAAGUUCACUGCAUGCACUACGUAUCUUCUUUACUUAGUCACAUUGACUUGGUCAACAUUGCUUCACAUUUUACCUGACAAUCCACAACAAUUCUGUUGCCUUCCACCUCGGUAUGUUAUUCCAUUGAAGGAAAGAAUGGUGAAUCGAAUAAAGAAACUAAAGGACCGAUUCCAUCGAAUAGAUGGGUGUAUAGUGCCACUAUUAAUUUCCGGUGACCGUUGGAGGCCUCUAUACAAUCUUUUCUCAAGCUUGCAAGAUUUAUACUCAUUUUUGACAGUAAAUUUGCCAAUGACAAUUGGGCAACCAGAUAUGUUAUCAUGUAGUGUGUAAUUGAAGUACUGAAUUCUUUGUUUGGCCCUCUUCUUAAUAUGAUCAUAGAGUAUAAGGUAACUUAUGCUAUUGUUGUGUUUAUAUUACUAUAUUCAUGCAGAAAUCUCUGAAGAAGGAGCAUUUUUUAUGGCAACUUUUCAAUAUUGAAAAUGAUAUUGAAAAACUCAAUGGUGAACUUGAUAGUGAAAAGAAAAAACUUGAGGAAGUUCUCUCUUUACAAAAGGAAUUCGACUCUGAAGCAGAGAUGAAAAAGAAAGAACAAGCUGGCUAUUUGAAAGAGUUGACAAUUCGUGAAAAGAAGAUUGCAAAGAUAAAACUUGAGCUUGAUAAGAAGGUAACUCCUACUACGACAUGCUUCUGAUCAUAUAUUGGCUGAAAAAAAUAAAUUUUCCUUCUCAAUAACCUGUUCACUAACAUUUUGAAGCACAAUCUGUAGAGAGUUUACUUCUACAUUUCUUUUUUUCUCCCAGCAACCAGAGCUUCUUAAACUAAAAGAAGAAAAAUCUCGCAUUAAUUCAAAAAUUAAAAGCAGCAUAAAAGAGUUGGAGAAAAAGAAAAAAGACCAAAGGAAGCAUGCUGAAGAAAUAGGAAAGCUACAAAAGGAUCUACAAGAUGUCACUGAAGCUAUUCAUGAGCUGAAUGAGCAAGCUAAACAUGGUGUUGGCAAACUUGAACUAGCAGAUGAUCAACUAAGUGAAUAUCAUAGAAUGUAAGUCAUCCCUUUAACUUCAAUCACUCAUUUUGGCAUAUGAUUAUCGUGUUCCUUAAUUAUUAAUUUCUGCACAUGAUUAAUGUGUGCAGCAUCUGCUUUAGUUUCAUUUUUCUCUGAGGUCAAGUAAUAUGUACUUAAGAAAGAAUAAGACUUCUGUAUACGUCAAGAGUGCCCCAAUAAGCUUACAGCUUCUUGGUGUUCACUAACCACAUCAUGAAAUUUAUCCCUGUUCAUGUGGGUCAUAAAUUCUGCUUGUCUAUGAUUUCAGAGAUUCAUGCACUUUUAGAUGCAUAUCAUUUAGAUGUCUUGCAUAUUCAUCAAAAAGGUCCGUUAUAAUGAGUAAAUAUAAAUCCAAUCAAAGCCCAAAAAUACCAUGUCUGGGCAACAUUCAGAUAAAAGGCCUUGUUCUGAAUAUUCUUCUCUUUUUUAAUAAUGGAAAUGGGGGCAUAAGAUAUUUGAGGCAUUAUACAUGUCACCCUAGUUUACAGUCGGGUAUAAUAUCCAUUUAUACCUAUGUAAAGCAUGGAGCACAGAGAAGAUAGCCAAAGCUCCCAAGGGUUAGGAAGCAAGCAUCUAUAACUGGUAAAGCCUACAUGUGGCAGGGAAUAUUUUCACCUGUAGCAAUAAACACCCUACCCUUUACUCAAGGAGAGGGGUAUGAACCAGCUAAAUAAGCUAGGUCAGCCAUUUUUAUUUUGACUUGACAAGUAAUUACUAAUUAGGAUAUAUAGUCGUUUGAUGUAUCGUUUGAAACAGGUGGUAUACAUCGAUCCGCCAGCUAAUUGGUAUGUGGACUAGCCUAUUUUGGGCGAGACACAUGAAAAGGGUCAAGUAUCGGUUAAUAUGGGUGAUGUAUCGGUUGAUACCGUUGAAACUCUUAUUGUAUCAGCCAGUGUUUUAAAAAGGCGCUCGCUUAUGUGCUUAGGCAAGGUGAGGCUCGAGCACCUCGCAUAGUUGUCGGGCGACGUGCUUUAGUGAAGUGCCGCUUGGGCGCUUACCUAAGCCGAAGCAUUGAGCGCCUCAGGUGAGUGCCAGAUUGAAGGUGAGUAAUCGAACCAGAUAGUCAACUUUGGUUUGGUUGAACAGUAACUUGGUUCAAUCGAACUAACUAAGCACAAUAAAUAGUAAUAGUAAACCCCCCGACCCAUAAACCCUAAGUACUUUGCUGCCCUGACUCACCUCUAGUUCUGCCGCUGCCUUUGUGCACAACCGUUGACUUCGCCACUAACACACAGGUUCGACGCGUCCUCUGUCGUCGAUGGACAGGUCCGAAGCUCCCGCUGUUGUAGCUUUCGUGCGCAGUUCCCUCUAUCACUGUUGCAUUCGUGUGUAGAUUCUUUCGUCGUUGAGGGAUAGGACUGUAGCUUCCUUCGCCACCGACAAACACAUCCGAAGCUUCCUUCAUCCUUACGCUAUUGCCCAUAGCUUCAUUCGUCAUCGCUGCCACCAUUCGCACUCUUCUCCAUCAUCGUUGCCCUCUCCCUUCCCAUGUUCCACCAUUGGUGACUCCUUUUCUCCCCCUCUACUAUUAUAACUACUCUUUAACAAUGGACCAAAUACUGUUAACAGUGGAUUGUUAAUCCAUAACUGAUAUUAAAAUUAUUGUUACCACAUAAUAAACUAAAACCGUUAUCAAUCCUUAGAAUUGUUGAUCUAUUUAGAACUAAUUCCUAUUUAGAAUUACUAAUCCUUAUUUAGCAUUAUUAAUCACUAUUUAGAAUUAUUAUUAGUUCCUAUUUAGCACUGUUAAUAUCUAUUUAUUUAGAAUUGUUAUUAAGGUUUCAAGAUUAAUGACAAGUGUACAAAGUAAUUCAGAAAAUUCAUAAAACAAUUCAACUUAAUGUUGUAUUGUUAUUUAUAUAAUCAUAUUUAUCAAUUGUAUUAUAUAUUUUAUAUUUUAAUGUUCUAGGGCGCCUUGCUUUGCUCGGGUAGGCUCUUAGGCGAGCGCCUUGGGCGUCUUGGGACCUUGGUGCGUAGCGCUUUUAAAAACACCCAUAUCGGUUAUACAGGUUGACAUUAGUCAGAAUUUGACUGAUACCGACCCAAAUCAGGUAAAACCCCAAUGGUCAAUUCAACCAUUGAGGCCUCUUUUGGAGCUUUUAAAUCCCUCCUUCCUCCUCUUUCACUCAUUCUCACUCACUUUCAUAUAUUUUAUCAUUCCUACUCUCGUUCUUAUUCACUCUCUCAUUUCCACCCUCAUUCUCACUCUUUCUCACACUCUUGCUUGUGAUUAGAAGUUCCUAAUUAGCGAUUAGUGAUAAUCAAGCUAUUGGUUUAGAUAAAAGAGGAUUUAAACUCGGAAUCUAAUGGAAUUUGUAUCCAAUUUGAAUGUAUUUAGCUUCUUUUUUAUGUUUUAUUUAUCAUUUCAUAUAAUUAGAGGCGUAUUAAUGUAUAUUUACAAAGAUUAAACUUGAUUAGGCCUAAAUUCGAGGUAUCUAGGGUUAUUCACAGGCUUAUGCAUUUAUUUAUGCCUCAUAUGCAUUUUAUUCUUAAUUAAAGACAAUAAAAUUACCAUUAAAAUAGGAUAAAAAUCUUAAAAAGUUUUUUUUAUGAAUGUUUAACUAUUUUUAGCAUUUUAAAGAAAUUGGUACGUAUUAGUGUAUGUACAUAUGGUACAUCUUUUCCAAUCUGUCAUGACCUUAGUUGGGAUUGCCUAAAUUAUGCAUUAUCAAAGAGAUAUGCGUUCGCAAGGGUCAGCCUAGGCCUUAACCUCGUGCAGUCCACAAAGGACUUGCACAACAAAGAAAAAGUUAGAAAGAUGAACGUGUGGGUAAUUUGCUAUCGUCGCAUAUGAAAAGGGCAAGAUAAUCAGUAUCCAAAACAACACAAAUCAUCCAGUGUUUAUUAGGCUCGAAAGGGUCCCAAUAACAUACUGAACAAGCACACACAAAGGGGAUUCUGAAGGUAGAUUGGGUAAUUUACCAUCGUUGCAUAUGAAAAGGGCAAGAUAAUCAGGAUCCAAAGCAACACAAAUCACCCAAUGUUUAUUAAGCUCAAAAGGGUCCCAAAAAUGGGUUGAAUAAGCACACACAAAGGGGAUUCUGGAGGUAGAUGCAGGCCUAAUGUUCACCUAACGCUCUCGUCGAACAGAAAGUGAGCACACUAAAGACGUUGCAUCACCCGUCAAACACAUACCCAAAGCUCCAUUCGCCUCGGUGUCACUUGGGGGGUUCAAAGGUUCUGAGAUGGUUGACGAUUUGCACCAUUAGGCCGUUAGCUAAAAAUCAGCUCGUGGCAUGCGAGAACGGUGUAGUUUGGGGUCAUUUUUGCCUCAAUGUGGUGUCGCAUAGCCAAAAAGGUUUUCGAGUUUUCCAUUAUGAAAAUAGGAAACAAAAACACUAACAGCAAAUAAAAAUAGGGUUGACUAUAGUGUUUCUACCUCAUACAAGUUGCCCUAAAGAAAACAUUGAAACACAAAGAAAACAAUAGAAAACAAGAAUAAAAAAUCAUCAUGGACAAGCGACAAACACCUUGUUUGCACUGUUCCAUGAUAUUCUCCUCAACUUAUUCCUUCUAUGCCCUCAUCGAAGCCUUCUUGUAUGCUGAAGAUUGAUUGUCCACAACGACCAUGUACGUCUCAGCUUCUUUUGAGUCGUUGACUUUGAUCCAUCCAUUUUGCUGGAACUCGUCGCUGAGCUAGUUUAGUUGGGGAAAUUGGUUGAGUUGGAACACUUCAUGCUGUGCUCUUCGGAUCUUUUGGUCAGCAAAAGAAGAGCAUUCAUGCUUGCAUUCAAGCCCCUUGGAGGUAUUACCUCGCAAAAGCUUGACUGUUGUUGGUUGGAGCUUCACGAGCACCAUAUCGCUAAACUUGAAGAGUUUGUGGCUUUCUCCCACAAUGUUUAUCCCUCACAUCCUCUAUUUGAAGGGACUUUCAAUUAUGUAGAGCUCCACUAUAUAGGUGAGGAGAAUUAGGUUACAUGGAAUGGCUUCACCCAAAUUCCUCGGUUCGUACUCCUUGCUCCGUGCUAGUUACUUGACUUCGCUUACUCUUUGCCAUCACACUUUUAGAGUAUGGGAAGUGUUGCUUGAACCUGAGCCAGGUUUCCCCCUUAUAAAGCGCUUAGGUGAUAACUUUGGUCGCGCCUUUGGGAUUGUCCAUGUCCUAGUUGCGAUUAGAAAUGUGCUCUCCCUCUUGGAGCACAAGUUUGGUUAGCACUCGGAAGACCCGCCACUAUAGUACCAUGCCUUAUCUCAUGAUGUUCAUGGUCUUCAGUGUGACACUUUCUCGACCAAGUUCUUUUUGGGUAGUUGAGUCCCUCCUGGACUCGAGGUCGUCACAAUGCUUUGCCUCUCAUGAUCUACUACUUCUGCACAUCCUGUGACUUAGGAAGCACUUCCCUCAUGAUCUUCCGCCAAUCAGACUGUAACUUUUUGACUCUGAUUCUUUGACCAUCUGCAUGACAUUGAUGAUCGCUCGUUCGGUCUUGCCCCUCAAAAGUACUGGGUUACCUAUUAGCGAAGAUAAACUCUGGAUCGGUCCGUCGUCCAACAUGUUUGAGAGGUCUCGAAGAUUCUUCCACUCCGAAAAUGAUGCCUAAAGUGGAUUGUUGAUUGGAUUUUCGACUCCAUUGAAUUUGAAUUGUCAUUCCACCUUGUGCCUUCAUGGAAAGGGCUUUGGCAACUGAGAUCUUGGCAUGCUGGCAUAUUCUUCAAGUGAUGAAAGAAUACUGUGGCAUAUUCGUCAAGCGUGGCAUACUUGCCCCGUGCUAAUGCCUUUUGACUCUAAUUGCAUCAUUGUGGGAUUAUUUAGGUCUUCUCGCCUCGAUUCUUUCAUCACUUGUAUAGCCAAAAGUAUAUAUGUGUCUUUCAAAGCUCUCUUCGAAAGUGUCACUAUGGAUAGAGUCACCGUCCAUCAGAAAGAGAGUUUAAGAGCGACAUGGGUGCUGCUUUUGCCUCUUGCAGAAACUCCACCCCAAGAACAAAUUGGAAAUCGUCUCCCGCUCCAAUCUUAAUGUCGACUCCCUUUGUCAAUUCGGACAUAGGCUUCGUCUCCAAAUUGACUGUAUUCAUUCGGCUCGAACUUUUUGCUAGCUUCAAUACGAGCCGGUUAGCCUCUUCAUCUGCUAUGUAAUUGUGUGUGGCUCCUAUGUCCACCAAUGCGUGAGUCGCCUACCCAUUCAACUUGAUGCCCACGAACAUUAAUAGGUUAUCUUGUGCCUUUGCCUCUUUUGGCAUUGCCUUAGACCGCUCCCCACUUGACAUCAAUGUAGUGCAUUCAACAAUUGUACUACCCCAAUGCGAGAUCGUUGUGUCGAUCCUUCGUCACUGCUCAACUCUGACAAACUUGAGCUUGAAGAGUUAGUAUUCUUCUUUAGCCUCUGCUUAGGCUUCUCUCGAACUUCACCUUGCAAUGCGUUCAACAAACGCUUAGCUCCCAUGCGAGGUCUUGACGAUGAUUCGUCACUACUUGAAUGAGACUUGUUCGAGCUAGAAGAUUUUUGCCUUCGCUCUGCCCUUCUCUGGUUAGAAAGAAGUUGUAAGGGCAUUAAACGCCUCUUUUUGUUGCGAGCAUUCUAACAUUUGAUGCUUUCCACCCCACAAAAGACAUAUGUCAAACUUCGGGACGUUCCCUCUGGAUCCAUGUCCUAUCGGAGCAACAAACUAUGUGUUCUCUGGCAUGAGUUGAGUUUGUAAUUCCCUCUUCAAGGCUUUACAAGUGUUGAUGUUACAAUAACUUUGUUGCAUAUCUUCCCAUCGUGUGCGCCACCAUAGUUUUGCAUCACCAACAAGAUAUAUCGUAGCUAACAACACCUUGGAAUCUUCUAAUUUGGGUUGUGUCUUUAUGAAGCAUUAUUCCAAAUUGAAGAGAAAGUUUUCUAACUCAUGGCAUCUCAAGCACCCUAGUAGCUUUGCAGUUAUGGAGCCCUUAAUCUCGAUAAGAGAUGGUCGCGAGACAUUUCUCCGCUCGCAUGCGUAACUUGUAUCAGUACCGACACUUGAGCCAUCAAGUCCCUUACUUGCCCUUGUAAGUAUUGCACAGACUCUCACAUGUCAUCCAUCAACCUUUGACUCGAACCUCUAGCUAAUCCAGUCGGGAUUCCAACCUGUUUGCACGGACUCUAUCAUCUCAAGAAGCUCCUCGCUUCUGUAGAGAUUCGUCAAUUUUUGGUUGAAAAGGUCGAACUGCAACUGCAACUUGGCCACUCUUUCUUUGGUGCCUUUUUGUCGUUUAGGUAUCUCUUCAACUCUUGCCUCUUUUGCGUAAGAGAACUCUUGCACUGUGAGCCUAUCGCUGCAAAUGCCAUGCUCCACUUGAGUGGCUUUGCUAAAGCCCACACGAGUGCUUGUCCGUUUCUCUGAAACGGUCACGCAUUGUUAUUGCCCAUCACGUACAGUGGUGCUGGUUUUGUCACCCUACCUUGCCAUGGCAAUUCAAUAUUUGCUUUACUCGUUAUGAUACCACCCUGUCGCGACCUUAACCACCCAAGAGAUAUGCAUUCGCAAGGGUCAGCCUAGAUCUUAACCUCGUGCAAUCUACAAAGGACCUGCACAAUGAAGAAAAGGUUAGAAAGGCGAAUGUGCGGGUAAUUUACUAUUGUUGCGCAAGAAAAGGGCAAGAUAAUCGGGAUCCAAAACAACCAGCAUUUGUUAGGCUCAAAAGGGUCUCGAAAAACGGGCUGAACGAGCCCACACAAGGGGGGCUCCGAAGGUAAAUGUAGACCCAUUGCUCAUAUGGUACUUUCGUUGAAUAGAAAGUGGGCACACUAAGGACGUUGCAUCAGCCCUUAGACACUUACCCAAAGUCCCAAUCGUUUCGGUGCCACUUGGGGGGUUCUAAGGUACCAAGAUGGUUGACGUUUUGCAUCACUAGGUCGUCAGUCAGAAAUCAGCCUGUUGUCACGGACUUAGUUGGUUUUGCCUAAAUCGUGCGGCACCCUUGCGUGUCCGUCCGCAAAGGUCAGCCUCCCCAAAACCUCCCAUGGUCCCUUAGGACCUACAAAAGAGAAAACGGGUUAGAGAAAGCGCCUCACUCAGGAUCCACAAGCAAACAUUUUCGAAAACACUUCAUAGACAAUGCAAAUUACAAACAGACUUUACAAGCUCUGAACGGUUGUACAACAAAGGGUCAAAAUGAUCCACUACAGACCAAGUAUUUCUCACAAGUAUCCACACGACACAACCUUUAUUUACAAGCUUAAGAAGGCCACCAAACCCAACUAAAAUGGAGCUGUGAAGCCUUCGACCGUUCCUCUACAUGCUGUGCAAAGCAUGAACAAAUAGAAAGACACGGACAUACAUAAGUAUUACAUUAAACAUCCUGUUUAGAACUUUGUCCGUGACAUUCUCCCCCACUUAUUUCUUCGACAUCCUCGUCGAAGCCUUUGCCGACACUGCAACUCCUCGCCUUUGCUGAGUCUUCAAUCUUCUGCUCCAGCAGCAAUGCGCCUCUUGACUCCCAACUGCUCUCCGCUGUUGUUUUUGAGUAGUCGAACCUUUGAUCCGUCAUGCUGCUUCAACUCGCCAAUGACUUUGACUAUAGUGUGGGGUUGGCUGAGUUGUGUUGAUCCCUGUUAGUUCCUACGGAUCCUCCAGAUGAAGGAAAAGACCAUCCUUACUAUGCGCUAGUCUCUCAAAUGCCUCAUGCUGCUUGAACUGGGUGGAUGAUUGUUGGAGCUUUAACGAGCAUCGCCUCACAAACUUAUGAAGUUUUGGGUCCUUCCUCCACAAAAUUUGCUUAUCGACUCUUUUUUCACUUAGUUGUCACUUCCAAGUAGAUUCACAUCGCUUCCGCUUUCGAUUGGCAUUCUGUUGAGAAAUGAAGUGGAUAAUAUACUCUCACUAGCACUGAUCACCAUUGGUGAGGAUUUGACAACUAUUGUCUUUUAAUAUCUUCGAAGGGUCUUUGAACUAGUGCAGAGCUCCUCUGCUGGAUAGAUAAGAGAAUUGGGGUACUCGGUUUCGUCCAUUCUCUUAAGAGUAGAGAAGGCAAUGGUUACUUGACUUCGCCUACCUCCUCAAGGGUUGUCCUCUAUGCAUCGAGCUGGUUACUGACCUUCGCCUACUCUUUGCUCACACUUCUGAAGCACUCGAAGUGUUUGCACUCAUUGCAUUGAGUUAGCUAUUGUGAUUCACCUUCUCAUUGCUAUCGAACUUCUGAAAUACAUGAAGUUUUCACCCCAACUUGGAGUAAGUCUCUAAUAGUUUUGGUCGCCUCUGGGAUUGUACUAUCUUCUCCAUCAACCCGGUUGCCUACUCCACUGAGUAGCAAAGGUACAACACCGCGUACUGCCCGCUUCAUUCCUUAGUCGUGCACUCUUGCAUGACCCGAAGUCCUUCACUUUCGGCUAUCUUGAUGAGAAGCUCGUUGAUACCAGUCUUACGAAGUUCCUUGGCCUCUGCCCUUCAGCAUUGUCUUGGUACUUGGAGUUUGCCUCUGCAUGCUCCACCUCCUUGGCGCCUUUUACAACCAACCGCUCUCCUUCCAUGAGAGCAACGGAUCAAUGACUAAUGGAAGUCCCGCCUCUGCGAUAUCAUGGCGCUGUCAUGCCCAUGGCCCUACUAUUCGUCACCUCGCAUCUGCAUCCCUUUUCUUCACGAUCAGUAGAUAUGUCUCUAUGGCACUCCUCCGAGUCCACCUUCAUUCUAACUUAUGCUUGAUUUUAGGUAGCUAAGUCCCUUUGGACUCGUCGUCGCUUCCUCGCCCCUUUCGACCCCUGCUUCAACACCUCUGUGUUAUCUAAGCAACUCCCUUUGGUCGAUGGAAAGAUAGACUGCAACUCCCAUACAUGGCCUUUGUCAUCACGUUGUAGGGUUUGCACCGAUUCUGUUCAACUUAGCUUCCUUAGUAGCAACGUUCGCUUACUCGACCUUGUCCUCUGACUUGCCGGGCUCCCUUAAACGAAUAUGGGCUCUGGAGCAGUUCAACUCUCCAGCUUCUUCGAUCAUACCUUUACAUGAUCAAGUCCCUCCCAUGGGACUCAUUGGUACUUACAUUCGAACUUUUCCCUCGGUGGUUCACAACCCCCAUAUGCUGAUGACCAAGGCUUUCAUCCGAUGCAAAAUUCGAUGCACGCAUGGAAGACCUGCCUCUGUGGCACCAUGACCUUCACUCCUUGAAUCCAUAGCCCUUCUUGCUGUCGUGUUGUUCACCGAAGUGGAGCUCCCAGUAGCUCCCGAUCAUACCUCUGUAUGAUAUAGUCCCUCACGAGACUAUAUCGUGUGUAUCGCAUUGCCACGAACUGUUCCACCACGAUCCACUGCACCAUGUCGCCUCCUGGUGACAUCUCUAUUGCAUUCUGAUCCUUGUGGGAUGAACUCGAAUUGUGAUCCCUCCAUGUGUGGCCUCUGCCAAUACAUUGCAGGGUCUCUUCUACCUUCAAUUUUGUUCGCUCCUUUGGCAAUCGAUAUCCACCCACUCUUGGGUCACACCUAGAUGAAGCACUGCUCUAGGACAGUCCGUCGCCUAGUAGAUCCCGAAGUCCACCGACUUCGCUGUGAUUAGUGUACCAUUGUCUGGAUCCUGGGCCUUUACCCCUACCAGCACAAUCUCCGUUGUGCACCGCUUCCUUCAUGGCAACUUGAAUGGCAACACUGUGGCAUAUUCUUUAAGAGUACCCGCCUCCGCAUCCUCUUGCUCUGUGCCAAGGCCUUUUGAACCCAACUUCGCCUCCGUAAGUUGAGUCGCCUUAGUUCCUCCAUCAAAUGCUUCUCCGAGAUAAGGUGCAUGUGCCCAGACGCUCCCUUCAUCUUUGGCAACAUGCAAGAUGAGUCUGUUCUAUCAGAAUGAAGGACCACAUGAUCCUGCUCUUGCCUCUGCAAGAGUUCAUGUCCUUGACCUCUGUCCAAGGAAAGCUCUGCGCCUCUGCUCCAUGUUUCAUCUUCUAUGCCAGCUCACUUCACGCGGCUUGGGUACUUCGCCAAGUUACACCCAAGUUGCUCCGCUCCUCGUUUUUGCAUUGAGUUGAUGGUGGCCCUCGCGCCCACCAUUCCACGGGUCAGCCCUCCCUUGAGUUUGAUCUCCAUAUCGACUCCAAGUGUGCCUUCAUUUGUGUUGCUUUGGGUCGCUCCCCCACUUGAUCUCGCAAUGCAUCCACUAAUGCAUUCUCUCAAGCGAGAUCAUGCGAUGACUCCUCGCCGCUUGCUCGGUCCAUUGAGCUUCGUGGAGUUAUUGUUUUUGAGGUACUCCUCCUCAACAUGUGCGGUCUGUUGCACAUGAUUCUCCCUCUGGAGAACCGGGACCUAUCCCUCCUUGAUAUCUAUCCCGUUGGAGCGACAUCUCUCUUCGCUUCUUCUCUCUGAAAGUUUCGGAGACCACCAUCCCCUUGGACUAUUCCGAUUUGCUGAACAAACCGUGCAUUGUUCUGCCUCCUGCAAACGCACUUGCUAGAUUGCGACUCCACAUCAAUACAGCCCCUACUGCACCACUCAAGGCCUAGCAACAUGCUGAACUCGCUGCACACUUCAGCCUCCUACAGACGUAUUCUUCUCAUGUCGAAGAGAAAGUUCUAAUGCUCAAUGACGCCGAGUUUCGGUCGCCUUGGGAUGGCCGCGAACAUUCCAUCGACCGCAUACAAGCCCUUGCAUGAGUACCGAAUUCUUCGGGUUAACAAUUCCCCUCACCUUUGUGAGCUUUGCACGACUCUUUCGAUCGCUGAGUAACUCAUUCCACCUUGCAUGGUCUCAUCCUUUACCAAGCGCCUCGCUUGCCUUGAGCACUAUCAAGUGUAGUUGUCAACAUCGAGCCGUAGCUCGAACUCAGCCAUUCCAACUUUUGUGCGCUAUGCAUUCUUCCAAGCUUGCUUAUUCUCAUGGUGCCUCUUGCGCGAAGGGUUGGCCAUUCCUCUGAAUGCCAAUCUCAGAUGCCCGCUCCUCCGAGCGACUCCUUUUCCCUACAUCUCCAUGCCCGUUUUCCCCCAAACGGUCGCGCGUGUGCUGACUGCCUCAACGCAGCCCCGCUAGGUCCCCUACAUUUGCAUGCCAAGUGUUUUUAUGAGUGCUUGUCCCGCUCUGAUACCAUCUGUCACGGACUUAGUUGGUUUUGCCUAAGUCGUGCGGCACCCUUGCGUGUCCGUCCGCAAAGGUCGUCCUCCCCGAAACCUCCCAUGGUCCCUUAGGACCUACAAAAGAGAAAACGGGUUAGAGAAAGCGCCUUUUUCGGGAUCCACAAGCAAACAUGUCCGAAAACACUUCAUAGGCUUUGCAAAUUACAAACAGACUUUACGAGCUCUGAACGGUUGCCCAACAAAGGGUCAAAAUGGUCCACUACAGAUCGAGUAUCUCUCACAAGUGUCCAUAUGACACAACCUUUAUUUACAAGCCUAAGAAGGCUACCUAACCCAACUAAAAUGGGGCUAUGAAGCCUUCGACCGUUCCUCUACAUGUUGUGCAAAGCAUGAACAAACAGAAAGACAUGGACAUACAUAAGUAUUACAUUAAACAUUCGGUUUAGAACUUUGUCCGUGACACUGUGGCAUGUGAGAACGGAGUAAUUUUUGGCCACUUUUCUUUUCAUGUGGUGCCGCACAGCUAGAAACGUUUCCAAGUUUUACAUGAUGAAAACAGGAAACAAAAACAAUGACAAUAAACAAAAAUGGGACUGACUAUAGUGUUUUCUGCCCGCACAAGCUGCCCCAAAGAAAACAACGAAAACAUGAAGAAAAUAUUAGAAAACAAUAACCGAAAACCAUCAUGGACAAGCGAUGAACACCUUGGCUGCAUUGUUCCAUGACAUAUCGGUAUGUAUCAAUUGGACUGUUACCACCGGUUGGCAUGAUACUGCUGUACUUGAUAUAUAGUCAUAAUGUAUCAUGAACUUUUAUAUUUGAAUUUCUGAAGCAGUUCAACAAAUAACUGUUACUAAAAAAUAAUUAAUUUAUGAGGAUUGGCAUCAGUUUCAUAACAUAUCAUGAACUUUUAUAUUUGUAAUUCUGAAGCAGUUCAACAAGUAACUGUUACUAAAAAUUAAUUAAUUUAUGAGGAUUGGCAUCAGUUUGUGCCCUUUUGGGAAUUAGUGUGUAUUGUUUGUCAAAUGGAGGGGGUUGACUUGCUGGCUUAAUUGUUUCCUAAUUCAAAAUUCUUCUUAACCUUCUGUCCAAGUGCAAAUAAUUCUAAUAUAAUAUGUUAGAUCAAAAUAAUGCAUUGCUGUUUUAUGUUGCUGUCCCAUCAUGUAAAUAAGCUGAAAAACUUGAGAAUGCAAUCAUGUGUUGGUUAUGCAACCGUGAUUUUUGUAGUCAUCAAAUCUAGAAAAAAGUGUUUAAUGGAAGAAACUUAUUUCAAUUUAUACUUACAAGAUAAGCAUUUCCAGAACCAUAUUUCUCCCUGAAGUGUAUUCUAAUUUAUAGGUUUCUUUCUGUGUGUCUAAAACCAUUCUUUGGUAGAUAACAAGGUCAUCAUUCCAAUUGUGAGCAAUUGAUUUUAAGAAUAAUCAACUCACUGUAUUUUUGUUUUUAGUCAUGUUGUCUAUAUGAAAAAUGAUUUAUGCGCUGAUUUUCACUUGAUAUGCUUGGCUUAUAUCAUUCUACAAAUUUAUCAUCAAUAGUCUAUAAGAUAUUUGAUGCUUAAUCAUUCAGUAAGGAGGAAGCUGGAAUGAAAACUGCUAAGUUAAGGGAUGAGAAAGAGGUUCAGGAUAGGCAACUACAUGCGGACAUAGAGGUUCAACAGAAUUUGGAAGAAAAUUUUCAACAAUUGCUUAGUCGAGAAAAGGAGUUGUCAACUCAGGAGGAUGAAUCACGAAAGAGAUUGAAGCAGAUAUUGGAUUCAGUUGCAGAUUAUAAGAAAGAGCUCGACAGGGUUAAGAAGGAUUUGCAUAAGAUUUCAAAAGAUCGUCAAAGUUCGGGGUCAGUUGAUAUUCUGUGUUCAAAGUUCUAAAUUUUUGCGUGUUAUUAUCUCAAGGGGGAAUUUAAGAAUCAGCUUAAAUAUGUGAAUCUCUUUUUUCUGGGCAACCUGCUUAUAAUGUCAUAAUUCACUUUAUACUAUUUUCCAUUCUCUUUGUGGUCCUCAGGACAAAGUAUCAGAGUCUAAAACAGAAACUUGAUGAAGUAGAUCUACAAUUACGAGAACUAAAAGCUGAUAAACAUGAAAGUGAACGAGAUGCUCGGCUCUCUGAAACAGUUCAGAGUCUCAAAAGACUUUUUCCAGGAGUUCAUGGUCGUAUGACUGAACUUUGCAGGCCAUCACAGAAGAAAUAUAACCUUGCUGUUACUGUUGCUAUGGGUAAAUUUAUGGAUGCUGUGGUGGUUGAAGAUGAGAAUACAGGAAAAGAAUGCAUUAAGGUAAAGCCUUUGAGAGGUUAGCUUUAUAUUAAAUUGCAAAGAUAUCCUUUAUGUUAACCGAUAUGAUGGUAAAUAUAUUUCUUUACAGACAACUGAUUUUACUAAAUGGCAGGAUGGUUUUGUUCAUUUGUGGAGAUUACAAUUUCUAUUUGUCCUAUGAUGAACUUAAACUAUUUUCUUCUCCAUGGCCAUCUUAGUGAUGAUCUACUUAAGUAUGAAAGCCAACUUUAAAAUCUUUAUCUUAUUCUUUUUCUAUUAAUGUAAUUUAUAUACCAAUAUGAAGAUGCAUACCUACAUGUAAAACACUAGUGGGUGGCAUACCUGACUCACUACAUUAGGUUGAGUGUUCGAAACCUCAUGCUACAAAUUUACACCUAAAACACUGCAGUCAUGGUGGUAGUUGGUGGUACUAGUGUACCUAAUUCACUUUCCUUAGGUUGAGAGUUUGAAAUUUAAUCUAAUAAAAUUUUUAAAACCUGAAAGACUAAUCUGACAUGUACCUGAUUUACUUACCUUCGGUUGAGGGUUUGAAACCAUGUUCAACAAAUUUUAUAUAUAAAAUAUUUGUUUGAUGCAAGGAUCACCAAAAUUUUGUAUAUUAACUUUGAAUCUUCUCCAAAGAUACGAGUUGAGAUGCUAGACUAUGUGUCAAAACUUUAUGAUUUCAACAAAUUAGGUAAUAAAUGGAAGCAACUUGUUUAUACGUUCUUCUACCACCAAAAUAAACAUCGGAACUCGGUAGCUGUCCUUAAUAUUUAUGAAAUAUAAAGAUUUGAUCUAUUAAGUGUCUAAUUUCGAAAAAAUUAAUAUUAAACACACUAAUCAGAACAUCAAAGACCUUAAUACUCCUUAAUUAACACUCUUCUACCAUCCAUAACAUAUCAAACAAUAUAUUAGACAUUAAGUUAUAUAUCAUACAGAAUAGGCUUAAUCGUCUCAUAAAUCAAUAAAAUCUAGAAAGAGAAUGCAUAUUGAUUAGAGUGUUCUUCCUCUUAGUCCUCCCAAAUUAGUCUCCUAAAUUUGAUCCAAUCCACAAAUCAUAGCUUUGUUGAGUUUAGGAAAGUGAAAAUAUGAUAAUAAGAGAAAGAUGUGAGUGAAAAAGAGCUUGAGAGAGUUUAAGAGAUUGAGAGAGUGAAAUGAGUUGGUAGAGGGGGGAGGAAAGGGUUUAAAAACCCUUUUCUAAGCUUAAAACAGUCAAAUUGANNNNNNNNNNNNNNNNNNNNAGUCCUCCCAAAUUAGUCUCCUAAAUUUGAUCCAAUCCACAAAUCAUAGCUUUGUUGAGUUUAGGAAAGUGAAAAUAUGAUAAUAAGAGAAAGAUGUGAGUGAAAAAGAGCUUGAGAGAGUUUAAGAGAUUGAGAGAGUGAAAUGAGUUGGUAGAGGGGGGAGGAAAGGGUUUAAAAACCCUUUUCUAAGCUUAAAACAGUCAAAUUGAUCGUUUGAAAUAGGGCAAUAUCAGCCCUUGAUUGGUAACGAUCAAAAUUCGAGCGUAUCGACCGGUACAGGUUGGUAACGGUCGGAUUUUAAUCGUUACUGCCUAGUACAAACCCCGUAUCGCUUGAUACAUGAUUAAGUGACCGAUACCUCUUGGUAGUGGACGGUCAGCAUACCGGUAUGUAUUGCCCGUAUCGGGCGAUACUCAUCGGUACAACAAACACACACUAGACAGAACACCAUUGUGCAUGAUGAAAUUAAAAUGGGACAUCGAGAGGGGCGUAAUUCGAUCAAGCGAGGAUCAACGAGGAGCCAAUUGGCCAACAUCUUACCUUGCACCACUCAUAUGUCAAGACAGUUGCCCCAUCAGAUAGCAUGUAGCCAACCAUGACUCAAAGAGACUCCAGUGGCCAAUAAAACAAGGCAAUCAACGACAAAACACCGUUGUACAUGAUAAUAGUAAACCGAGACAUCGAGAGGGACAUAAUUUGAUCAAGUAGGGAUCAACGAGCAGCCAAUUGGCCAACAUCUCACCCCGCACCACUUAUAUGCCGACACGGUUGCCCCAUUGGACAGCCCAUUGCCAGCCAUGGGUCAAAGAGAUUCAGGUGAUCAGUCAAACAUGGCAAUCAAUGACAGAACUCCGUCGUGCACGAAGAAAAAGGGACAUUGAGAGGGACAUUGUGCAGAAAUUAACGAGCAGCCAGUUUGGCUGACAUUUCUCUCCGUACAUCACUGCUAUGGCAGCAGGCGAAAAAUGACAAAAACGAGGAGAUCCAUUCACACUGCUCACGGUGGUCGCCAUUUGAGAUUUAAUGAGAAGCAAAUACAGCAAGGGGACAGAUUAAAGCCAUGAAAAGUUUCUUCAUUGCAUAAUGUGGAGGGAGGAGGAAAAAUAUUGUUAUAUAGCACAUAAAUCAUGCAAUAAGUUGGUUUAGGUUAUGCUUUUUGUGGAACCAAAGUAACAAUUUUGGACAAGUUGGUAUGUUUAAUUUGUUAACUUUUCUGCACUGUCUAACUUAUGGGAAUAGUAAAACUAUCCAUUUUUAUGGAGUUGUAUACUAUUAAUGGGAUACUUCUUGUUAAUGAUAAUUGAUUUUUAGCUUUGAUAUCUUUUAUGUUAUCAUAGAGCAACUGGUUCUACCAUUACGACAAUUGUUUUUGUAAUUACAGCUCUGUGUUGAAUCUAUAAUUCAUUACAGUGCAAAUUACUGUUAAGUGUUAAUACAAUUUAAAAUUCAUGAUAAGAUCUUUUGCUUUCUAGUAUUUGAAGGAACAACGGCUUCCUCCCCAGACAUUCAUCCCCUUGCAGUCAAUUCGUGUCAAGCCAGUUAUCGAGAAAUUACGUACUUUAGGUGGGACGGCACAGCUGGUCUUUGACGUGAUACAAUAUCCUUUUUAUUGGAUGUUGUGAAUUGAAAGUUUUUCUUAAAUAGCAAAUAGACAUGAAAACUUAUAGUUUCAUUCUUGUGCAGGUAGAGCAUUCUUUUUAUAUAAUACCUUUGCUAUUUUAGUUUACCUCAUUAGAUUUUACAUAUUGUAAGCUAGUGAUGAAAAAAUAUGGUUUAUUUAUGGCAUAACAAGCUGUAUAUGCUUGGAAGUUUUGUUAACAACAUGGCUAUUAAUAUUUCUUACAUCUUUUCAGUGGUCUUGCUUAUUUGCCAUCAAUAUUAUUAAAGCCUGUUUCUAGUUCUGCAAUUUCUAUUUAAUUUUUUAAUGAUGUGAAUUAUGCAAGUAUAGUCAUUUCUUUUUUUUGGGCUGUGGAAUUUGACAUCUUUCAUCAUGCCUUCUGUUUCUGAUUUUGUUUUCCCUUCACAUGUGAAACGAAUAAAUUCACCUUCUCUUAAUUGGUGCAACUUCAUAAGUUUCAUUACUAUGUUUCCCGUCUCUAUCUUUUGUUGGCUGCCACAUAUCUAUUUAAAUUUUCUCUUCUGUUCUUUUAUAUCUUGUUUAUUCUGUAAAUUAUCGGAGGUUCUGAGCAUGCUAUUCUGGCAUCAGUGUUGACUGUUGAUUACUAGAUUUGUCUUUGACAAAGGAUCAGUCAUAAUAUUUCUUUAUGCUCGCCACUUCAUUGUGUGUUUGCAUUUAAUACAUUUUCUUUUUAAUAUUUUGAUCAAUGGUUGAAAGAAGGGCUGACACAUUACCAUGUAUCUUGCUUUUCAUUUUUGAAACUCUUCUGUUAUGUCUGAUUCUGAUGAUAUUCAUAAAAUUUAUUGUUGCAUUAUAAUGAUUCGCCAAUCACAUGGUUUAAUUUAUUUCAUACUAUGCAUGUAAGCUAAGAGUAUUAUGUUGUACAAAUGUUUAAUUGAACUAUAGUUUCUAUUGAUCAUUGUGGCCUCUUUUCCUUUUCUUUUUUCUUAACAUUUUCACAUUUGAUCGAUCCUUGGAGAAAGCCAUCAUAUACGCUGUGGGGAAUACUCUUGUAUGUGAUAACCUUGAUGAAGCUAAAAUUUUAAGCUGGAGCGGAGAGAGGUACAAGGGUAAAUGUCUCUUAACAAUUGAUUUUUAUCCUAUUUACCUUGUAUUAUGUGACCUCUUGAUUGUCAUAUGAUCCUAUCUAGUGGUUACCGUUGAUGGAAUUCUCCUGACAAAAUCUGGUACAAUGACUGGUGGGUUAAGUGGUGGAAUGGAAGCCAAGUCAAAUAAGUGGGAUGACAGUGCAAUUGAAGGUAUACAUAUACAUUCUCUCUUUGUAUCACUUGUUUUGAUUUUGUUUUACUUUACUCCUACUGAAUAUUAUUUUAUUAUGCAGCCCUUAAGAAAAGGAAAGAUCAAUUGGAAUCAGAAAUGGAAAGUCUUGGAUCACUAAGAAUGUUACAAAUAAAAGAGUCUGAAGCAUCCGAAAAGAUCACAGGGCUUGAAAGGAAAAUUCACUAUUCAAAAAUUGAGGAGGUAAUAUAGUGAAUAAUAGACAUAUAUCCUUCAAAUAACAUGCUGGACUAAAACAAUGCCUGAGGUGAAGUGCCUUAAGUUUUUUUUUUUUUGAUUUUUUUGCAAAAAGGUAAGAUAUUGAAUAACAGUAAGUAUUUUACAAGUACAAUUGACAUGCUCUCCUACCUUAAGAUAUUCGUUGAAUUGCUUUAGUUUAGCUGACUGUUGAACUGGUCUCUGUUUCGUCUUAUGUUGAUUUAGUGGAUUUGCUAAUUUAUAAAUUGUGAACUGUAUUUCUUGUUGUUGCAACACACUGCAGUUGCAUACCUUCAGGAUUUUGCUUCUAAGAACACUUGUGCUGGUUGUUUCCUUUUCUAUUCAUGUACUGUUACAGCUUUCUGCUGCAUGUACUAUUUCCUAUUCUCCAUUUUUCUUCUUGUCCCACCUUUUAUUAAGACCUAAGCUGGAUUCAUAACAUACUUGUUUUAGUCGUCCUGGGAUUUUAGCUUAGCAUAGAAACUGUCUCUAGACAAGCUUCAUUUUGUUAAUCAUUACCAGUUAAAUCAUUUUUAGAUUAGAGUUUGGUUUGUCAAUAAGAAUGCCUCUGAAGUAUGCUGUAACAAGCCAUAAUAUCCCAGCAAUUUGGAGCUGACUACAUGGAUUUUAUUUGCUCCAUCCCUGUACAAAGCAAUAUCUUUAGUUAAUUAUAGCAUGAUAGAAACUUAUAUCAUGGAGUCUAUCUUAUGUAUGACUAGUAAGUUCGGCCAUUAUUAAUGUCAAAAUGUAAAAAUUUAAAGUUGAUUCCUCAUGUAAUCCUAUAUUAAUAAGAAACUUACUAGAUACACUUCUUAUGGUUUUAACACUAAUGAUUGUACUAUUAUACAUUCCUUUUAUUACGGUUCUCCAUUUCAACCGAACUAGUAUGCAUCGGUUUGGAUGUGGAUUGCCCCUUUUGGAUGGCCUAAAGGCGGCAGUGAUUUAAAAAGCGCUAGGCGCUAAAAGGCACCAAGGUUCCAAAACGCCCAAGGCAUUAGGCGCUCGUCCGAGCGAAACGAGACGUUAAAAUAUAAAAAUAUAUAAUACAAUUAAUAAAUAUAAUUAUUUAAAUAAAAAUAUGAUAUUAAAUUAAGAAAAUCUUAAGUAUAAAGUCACAAUAUCACAUUAACAAAAAUCUCAAAAUUAAAACCAAUAAAUAAAGUUAGCAGUAUUAAAAUCGAAAUAAUAUAUUAUUAAUCUAAUAAAUAAAAAAUAAUGUUAACAGUAUAUUGUUAGUGUUAACAAUAUACUAAGUCGAGUGUGAGAAGAGACCGAGGUUGCUUACUGAGAGCAGCGGUAGCGGUGAGCAACAACAGUGGCAAUGGCGAACAGUUACAGUGGCAGCGAAGAGUAACGACAAUGGAGAGAGGCAGGGCGGAGAGUAGCGAUAGCAGAGAGUAGCGACGGCGGUAGUGAUAGCGGAGAGAGACAGUGACAGCAGAAAGAAAAUGUCGACGGCGGGAGUUAGGUUAGGGUUUGGGAAGUCGCGAGCGGUAGCGGAGAGGUUGAUAUCGAUGCUUUAGUUGGUUUGAUUGAACCAAUUAACGCAAAUUAUGACCAGUUGUAUCAUAGGGGCAAAACUACCUAGAGAAUCUAUCCUCAAAACUACUUGGAGGAUUAGUAAAUCUAUCUAGUAUUUGUUCUGUUGGAGGUGAAAUUUUGCUCUUUUGAGUUGAACAUUUCUUGAAUUCUAAAAAUCCGAGGCAAAGAGGCUAUUAAGUCAAGUAACCAACUCAAUGUAAAUAGUGCACCUUAAGGAGACUGGCAAAGUUACGGAAACUUGCUCUUUUCAGCCCUUAAGAGGAUGGGCGAGACCAAGUAACACAUUUCUUUUAGUUAUUUGCAAAGGAGCUUUGCACCAAGGAUUUUAAUUUUGAAUGAUACCGCUCGUAUCGGACGGUAUGUACCGGUCCGCCAAUAGGCCGGUAUGCGGACCGCCCACUACUAGGUGGUACCAUUAAUCUAGCCCCAUAUCGGACGAUACAGGGCUGUAUCGGGCGGUAACGGUCGAUAUUUUGAUCGUUAUCGCCCGAAACAGGUCGGUAGCGAUUGAUUUCAACCCUUGCCGCCCGCUACUGAGUAGUAUCAGCCUGGUUGUUGGCGAAGGAGAAGUGGGAGAAGGCGCUCAAAGAAGAGGUAGAAUCGGGAGAGCCUCGAUGCUUCCCGAUCCGGUGCCACCCUCCCUCGACGAUCCCGAUCCAGGAGGUAACAGAGAGGCGGCGGCUCGGCUUCUUCUUCGUCGCGUUCUUCGCCGAAGGCCGGAGACACUUGCGGCCUUCUCCACGUUCUUCGUCAAAGGCCGGAGACGUCUGCGACCUUCGACGUCUUCACCAAACGUCGCAGAAGAGGAGAAGACUGCGUUCUUCUCCUCGUCUGAUGCGAUAAGAAAAGGAAGCGACAUCACCGAUGCAGCGUAUGACGUCACCGAUGCGACGCCACCGACGCAGCGUACGCCUCCUAAGUGUGUGGAAUACAACAGCCAUCAACUCCUCACUAUUAGUGAUUGGACCUAAGAAGGGUAGUUUGGUUGCUUUAUCUCCCAACAGUGUGAUACAAAAAGUAAAGGUGACACAAACCUACUUGGAGGGAUAUGACUAAGGAAAGGAAUGGUCAAAUCUUUGAAGAACUCAAAAUUUCAAGUUUUGUGAUAUAUUGUUGGUGAAGCUUUGAUCGGCUCAUUCAUGCUCUUUGCUCUAGCUAGCUCACUAGUGCUCUUUUGAAAUAAUAUCCUUGAGAGGCUUGAAUGCAAAGGCAAAGACUUUCUUUUCCCAUCUUUUGGAAGAUUUACAAAUUUUUGGAAAGUUCAACACAACUCGAUAUACCCACAUCAAAUCUAGAGUCAGUCACUAAGAAAUUAAGAUAAUGUCAGUGGCUCAAAGUUUCGACUACUCAACAACAUUGAGACACCAGUUGGGAGCUAAAAGGUGUGUUGUGUUCAAAGGAGGUUUGCAGAUGCAACAUUUGAGAAACCUACACUGAGGACGUCGAAAGAAUAAGUGGAAGAGAAUGUCUUGGACUGCUUGUGUAGGUCUUAAUGCGUGAAGAAUUGUCCAUGUAUUUUAGUUUGUUCCAACCAUGUAACUCAAAGUCCACAUGGUAUUGAUAAUGUCCUUGUUCAAGUUCCAAGCCUCCUCGUUGUUCAUUCUGUUUAAGAAAGUUUACAGUACUGUCUUUAAAACUCCAUCAUCUUGCUUUACUGGUUCGUUUACUAUCUUUUUCCACUUUCAUCAUUUUUACUUAUCUAAUACUAUCAGUUUAUGUAGAUUCAUCAAUCCUUUACCAUAUAUAACUUUACAUUCCUUCCACAUAAAUAUUUACCUUUCUGGCGAGAAAAAAACGUUAAAUAUAAUUGUGACUAUUUUUAUAAGUAAUCAAAUGAAUGUAUCUUUUCUUUAAGUGAAUAUUAACAAUUAGAUGGCCAUACAAAGUAGCAAAAUUUAUUUCUCUUCUCAUAUCUAAAGCCCUUGAUUGCUUGUUUAAGUUAACCAUGCACUUUUUUUCAUGAUGAUUCAAAUACCUUUAAUUAUAAGUUUUUCAAUUAAAGGUAUUCCUUAAAUAAUUUUAUCUAAAUUUUCUAAAAGUUUUCUUUUGGUUUAAUUAUCCAAUCUAAUUUUAGGGACGUGAGCACUUACAUUAUUUGAAAUAUCUUUGCUUAAUGCAACUUUCCUGGCUAUAAUUUCUAUCCCCAAUCUGGGAUUCUUGCCCACAUUUCAAUGUUUAAUUUUUCAGUAUAUCAAAUUUUAAAUCUAAGACUAUCAGUCGCUCUGGAUUUUUUUCAUACUCGCUCUGUGUCCUAUUAUUUAUUAUGUUAGUUUUUCUUGUAAUCAUUAUAUAUAUAUAUAUAUAUAUAUAUAUAUAUUCUUAUUCCUUUUUAGAAAGUGUUCCUAAUUCAAAGUUAAUAACUGAAUCUAUCUUGAACCAACAUCUUUACUUGUAUCGGUCCAUGACAAUGCGAAAACCCUUCGACUAUUUUGUACCACUUCUAGGUGCUAUUGUAUUGGAUAGCUUCUGGAUGAUUUUGUAGCCUACCCUUCACGAUUCAAAGUACUUGUGUCAUGAGGGUGCUCAUGUUAUUUUUGGGUGGCAACUUAGCCCUAUAAUGGAAGUGGUUAAGAUCUAUACUCAAUGUCUCUGAAAUGUACAGUGUAUGAAAUCAUUUAUUGUACUGUGAUUUUUUUUUAACCUUCCUAACUUGUCCUCUCUUUUAGCAUUUGUUCCAAAGAUUCAAUAAGAAAUGUUUGCUAUAUUUUGUUGACACUUUUAAUCUUAAUACAUCUUUUGGAUAAUUGAAUUUUUAAUGUUUGAUUUGAGAAUUUAAGACUUUGGAAACAGUGGUAUGUCAUGAGCCCAUUAGAUUUGACAGGGUGUAACUGAUUCCUCACCCUGCUAGUUGUUAUGGAAGGUAGCAACAGUAGUCAUGUCAGCUUUUAGUCGUUUUUGAGUUGUAUCUUUUUAGACUGUUCGGUUACCAGACUCCUGGCAUAUUUGCCUGUAAUAUUAAGCCUGCAAGUGCUUGUAUGUCUGUUAUAUGUUGUUCUUUUUCAGUCAGUGUAUCUAGAUAUCCGGAGUUAUGUUUAUUUAAGCAUGUUGUACUUUCUACAUUUUCUGAAGCUAAAACAGAUCAAAAGUUUUUGAAGAAAAUAAUCUUUGUCAUCCUUUUCUCUUUGCUAGAAUUUUCCAAUCAUUAAAAUGUUUUGGCUAAUAUAUCCAGUUAUCGACUGAAUCAAUGGCCAGACAUUUGUACCUUCUGAUUGUUAUAUAAAUUUUAGGCUUCACAAUUUUGUUUAGAUAUUUGGCAUACUUCUUCAUUGACUCAUUGGCUUAUUUGUCCCUUGCUAUGAAAAUUACUCAAAGUAAAAUUGCUAACCUUACCAACUUUUAGAUUCUUACAAAUUUAGGAAAAAGUUAGGGUCAGUACUAGUUUCAUGGACAAGUCUAUUUAUUGACUUAGUUUUUGCCUUGGUUAGGAACUCAGCACUAACUUGAAACUUAAAGGUGCUGACAUUAGAUUGACGGUUGUAGAAUAUUCUCAAAAGAUGAAUGCAGAACACUUAUGUGAUGCUUUUUCUUUGCAUAGAAAUUAAAGUUCUUUGUUUUUACUUUGAUUGAUCAUCCAUAUUCAACUAUAAUUGAAUCUUUGCUGUUAUCAUAAAGUACAACAUGCCUAUAGUUUACAUGAAAAAAAUUGCAUGCAGAAAAAUAUUCAGGAAAAGCUUUCAAAAUUAAAUGAAGAAAAGCUAAAUAUUCGAGAGGAGAUUGGUCACCUUAAACCUGAGCUUCAGAAGGUGAUUUUUAAUCACAUUAUUUUCUUGAUUGCAAAUUAGGCACAUUGUGUUUGAUGGCUAGCUAUCCUUUUUAUGCAGUUGAAAAGUGUUAUUGCUAAAAGAACUGAAGACAUUCAAAAGCUUGAAAAAAGGAUCAAUGGGAUUGUUGAUCGUAUUUACAAGGAUUUCAGUGAAUCUGUUGGAGUGAAGAACAUUCGUGAGUAUGAAGAAAGUCAGCUUAAAGCUGCUCAAGAAAUGUAUGAGAGAAAGCUGAGUUUAAGCAAUCAUAUGUCAAAGUUGAAGUACCAGUGAGCAUUCAACUCUCUUUUCUUUGACCUAUCUUUCAUUUGAACUUGAAGUAUUAUUCUUGUAUCAAUCUUCUUUUUUAAAAAACUGGCCAUAAUCUACCUAUCAUGAAAUUUUCAUUUCACAAGUUUGUUGCUGCAUCAUUUAAUUAUGGAAGUUGAUCUUGUUUAUGAAUUUCACCGACUUGGUAUUAGUAUAUUGGUGCAAUUUCUUGCUUUCUAGAAAGGUACAACCAGUAGCUUUUUGUGUCCUAUUUGCUGUUUUCAUAUUUGACUAGCUUUAGCAGCUUCUCCUAAGAGCUUCACAAGAAACUGUAUUGCAUUAUUGUUAGUUAUACAUUACAUUUGAUCAUUUUAGAGAUUUACAAAAAAGUGCAAUGGUCUAAAUCAUGAUGUUGUUUUGUAAUGGAGUGAACCCAACUUUGUCUUGUUUAUAUUCCUCUUUCAUUAGGUUGACUUGUGUCUAAUUUUCAUGUCACAUUGUUUGCUGAAAUUCUGAGAAUUUGUGAAUUAUGUUAUGGAGUGGAUUGGACAUGUUCCGUGCUUGGGUCGAAUCAAUCAAGCCAAUUUCUUACCGGCUUUAGUAGAUGGGAUCUAGAUUUAGUCAAGAUACAUAUUUCUAACUGUUAAUUCAUUGUUUCUAACUUUUGCUACCAUUGCCACAACCACCAUCACUAUUCUUGCAACACUACCAUCUCUAGCAUGAUACUUCCACCACCAUAGAAACCAGGGUUUUGAAUACCGAUCUGUAUCGGCGUACCGAGCAGAGCUCGGUACGGUACGUACCGGUAUAUAUUGUCGGCACGCUAGGGCGUACCGAUGGUACACUCUAAAACCUUAAAAAUACCUUCACCUAUCACGUCAGGGCGUACUGAUCGGUAUGCCUCGGUAACGGUCGAAAUCCGGGGUGAUAUCGGUCAGUAUGCCUCAGUACCGAUCAAAACACUAGUACUGCCUGGUAGAGGACAGUCCGUGUACCAAUAUCCUCUCAGAUCGGUACGUACUGCCCGUACAUCGAAAUUAAGAACCUUGAUAGAAAUUACUGUCCUUGCUAGUUGCUACCACGACUGUCAUUCCGCCAUCAUUACCAUUCGCUGCCACAAAACUCCACCAUAAAUGCAAUUAUCACCUCUGCUAUAGCACCACAUUGCCUUGCCUCCAUUGUUGCCAUUGUCCCCACUUCUAAUGUUACUAUCGUCACCACCAUUGCCUCCGUCACUGCCACCACCACCACCACCACCACCACCAUCACCAUCCUUUCACCAUCUCCAUUAUUACUACCAUGGUGCCACAACCUUUCUCACUUACACUAUGUUGUCACCAGUGAUUUAAAAAGGCGCUCGGGCGAGGCGAGGCGAGGCUCGAGCGCCUCGCUUCACUUCCAGGCAGCGUGCUUCAAAGAGGCACCGCCUGGGCGCUCGUCCGAGCCCAGGCGCUAGGCGCUUCGGGCGAGCGCCUGGGCUAAACCAGGCGAUCGAACCAGGAUUUUAGGUCUGGUUCGGUCUCCGGUGUUUUAGUUGGUUCAAUCGAACCAACUAAAACCGAUAUCAGCUAUCGCUGCCCAACCCUAACCCUGCUCGUUGCUGCUGUCGCUCUCGCUGCUCGCUGCUGUUGCCGCUCUCGCUCCUGCUGCCACUGCUCGCCACUGUCGCUGUCGCUGCCUCCUUACACUCCCGCUGUCGCUGCCUCCUCCCGCUGCCGCUUCCUCUUUUCUCAAUCAGCAUCCCCUUACACUCCUCUUCCUUCUUCUCCUUCUGUAUACUGUUAACAAUAUACUAAUAAUAGUAUUUGAAUUUUGAAACUUUUUGUUAAUGUGACAUUAUGAUUUUGUAUCUUAGAUUUUCUUAAUUUAAUAACAUAUUUUUAUUUAAAGUUUUAAAUAAUUAUAUUUAUUAAUUAUAUUAUAUGUUUUUAUAUUUUAGCAUCUCGCUUCGCUCGGGCGAGUGCCUAGCGCCUCGGGCGUUUUUGGACCUUAGCGCCUUUUGGCGCCUAGCACUUUUUAAAUCACUGGUUGUCACCGUCGCUGCUGUCUCCAUUCACCAUUACUACGACGGCCACUAUUGUCUUUGCCGCCACCACCACAAUCACCACUAGUUAAGGAGUGAGGAGAGAACAGAAUCAGACUUUUCAUUAGGACAAGACAAGUAAAUAUCUUAAAUAUGUUUCCUUCUUUAAUUUCACAUGGAUUGAUAAAUAGAGAUGAGCCAACGAAGAUGCAAGCUGGAAAAUUGUUUUAUGAAGUUCUUCAUUAGAAGAAUCUUAUUGACUUGUUGUCAUCUUCAAUAAAUAGUGGAUCAAUCAAUUGAACCAAGGGCUAUAUCAUAGGAUCGUCAAUUUUAAAGUCUGGUAAAUAAAGCUAUUUCUCUUUAUGGUGUGGGAAUAAUAAUGGAGAAUAAAAGAAAUGUAGUUGUUGAUAAUAGGUAUGCAAUCAUCCAAUUGUGAAGCAGAUGCUUGCUUCAAACAUUUAGACAGCUGGAAGAAAACAUUUGACUUGAUAUUGUGAACACUAUUUUUUUUAUUCAUUAAAGUAAAAGGUAAUGAGCACAAAAGGUUUUGGAGUAUUCAGUUUGACAAGUGCUAUGUGUUGUCUUGACAUGAAUAAUUUUUGUGAACCAGUUGAAUCGUGUGCAGUCUUGGGAUACCUUACCUUGCAAUUUAUUACUGCAAACCUAAAGUGGGAACUAGCUGGUCAGGAGUUCUCAGUUGGAGUUUCUUGCAAGUUAUCUUUACACACCAACAACUGGAACAUGUAAAUUGCUUUUCAGGCUAUAAUUUUAUAGAUAAUGAAUUGUCAGCGACUACUUCAUACUGGAAAAAACUAAUAAAUUCCUAUUAGUUGUUUCAGAUCUGCAUGUUUUUUAAUUAAAUUUUCAUGUAACUGUAUCAACAAACCAACUGUAUCAACCAAUCCUGUGGAUAAUGGUUUGUGCAUUUAUCACAAGGUACUGUCUUGAGUUGUCUAAACAAUUGAUGAAUUUUAACUAAAGGUUGGUUAUCCAUUUAGAUUAAAUGUCAAGAUGUUUUCCAGUUUAUGAAUAUAUGCAGCAAGCGUUGAUGCAUAAAUUGCUUUAAUUCUAUUGUAGGCUAGAGUAUGAACAAAAGCGGGACAUGAAUACACCAAUUUCAAAGCUGGAAUCGUCUAUUGAUUCUUUGAGGGAAGAGUUGAAAAAUGUUAAACAGAAAGAGUAUGAUGUGGAGCACGCAGCAGCAGAAAUUUUAGACCAGAUGAAAAAAAUAGAACAAAAAGCUGAUGGUACUCAUAUUAUAUGCUUUGUUUCUAUCCACAUGGAUUUCCAAACUUGUCAAGCUCUUUAGUUGCUGCUUUAGCGUAUCCACCUAGUAGUUAAAGAGUAAUUUGUGUUUCCCCCAAAUAUAUUGUGCUGCUGGUUUAUGAAUUUACUUGUCAACUUUUUCUUAUUUAUGAGCUCAUUGAUUGUAUUAUUGAUUUUAUCAUUUAAGUUAAGUGAAUUCAGAAUGAAACAUGACUCAGGUGAUAAGUGUUCAUCUUUUAAGUUAAUUUCAGUAAAUGGGCAUCAUAAUCCAGGUUCCAUAUUUCUAGAUAUUGUUUAGGAAGCUUGUUUCAUAGUUCCAUUGUUGGUGCAACAGUAAAUUUACUUCAUUUUAACCUGGGCAUCAUGUUUGAGAUUCUGGAGAGGACCUCUUGUGAUGUGUGGUUAGGGCUUAAUAGUCUGAUUCUCUUCUAGACCUGGGGUGGAGAGAGUUAAGGAUGUUGGGUGCAGCUAGCAAUCUUCUUGUUAUGCUCAGUAUUUAGAGAGAGAGAGCUGGAGUCUAAACCAAGCAUACUGGUGAGCAAGCAUCAUGCUGGCAAGUCAAGCAUGCCCUUGUGCUGUGCAACUGGAAACAUUGAUGAUAAGAAGAUCUGCUUUUUAAAUUAUUGAAAAUUUUGGUGGAUGUUGAACGAUAUUUACGUAUAUGAGUGCAACUUACAGCAGCUACAGAAACUAGAUCAGAUGCAUGCUGUUCCAUAUUCCAAACAGACGGUUAUAAUUGAAAUUCUAAGAUGGAGAAUAUUGCAAUUGCAAGCUCAUCAUUAACAUUUGAUCUAUUAUUAUGGUUUUUGGAUCAAGUGCAAAUUCUGAAGUGUUCACUUGAAAAGCUGACUGUUUCUACUUUAAAUACUUCUAUGCUUGACAAUGUAACAUGGACGUAGGCUUGAUUAUUUAAUUAUUGUCAAUUUGCUAUUUAAACUUGGUUUUAUGCCCUAACAUUUAGUGACUUAUCUGCUAUCUAGAUUGGAAGGCUAAGUUAGAUGAGUGUGAGAAGGUCAUCGACGAACUAAAGAAGAAGAGUGAUAGUUUCAAAGGGACAAUUGGGAAGCUGCAGCGAGUCAUUAAUUCUAAGGUCAGUGUUAUUGGAUGUGACAUUUUUUUUUCCUUCAUGGUUUUUGGUGGUUUCGCUGUAGGGAUUUUGCUCAAUAAUGAUUUCAAUUUGUUAUGAAGAAAUCAGAUUUUCAUUUCGCUGCAAUACAUUGAUGAUUGAAAAGUAAAAUUGUGCUUAAGUUCAAUUUUCCAUUCAUAUCAAGAAUCUGAUCUUUUACAACAGGAGGCACAGCUUGAACAGCUUAGAUCAAAUAAGCAGGAGGUGCUUGAUAAGUGUGAGCUUGAGCAAUUGAAGCUUCCAACAGUUGAUGAUCCAAUGCAAACUGGAACUUCUAGUGUAUUGCCAGUCUUUGACUACACUCAACUGAGCAGAAUGUAUUUGCAGGAGAUGAGACCUUCUGAGAGAGAAAAACUUGGGCUAGAUUUCAAACAAAAGAUGGAUAAUCUUAUGGUUGAAAUAGAAAGAACAGCUCCUAACUUAAAAGCACUUGAUCAAUAUGAAGCCUUGCAGGGGAAGGAAAAGGAAGUUGUUGAAAAAUUUGAAGCAGCUAGAAAAGAAGAGAAAGAAAUAACUGACAGAUAUAAUUCUGUCAAACAGAAAAGGUACUGUUAUACAGGAAUUGUAUGCCAUCCUUUUAUAUUUUGGAUUGUUCAAAGUAUCCUAAUUUUGUUGUUUAUUCAGUGAUCUUCUGAAAAUAUUGUUAAGUUGCUAAAAAGUUUGUCUCGAAUGUAACUGAACAACAAGGAAAAGAAAAACUUGAAUGUUUGAAACAAAGCCAGUGCAUAAAGAACUUAUAGAAAUUUGUUGAAGAGAGAACUACUGUAUAUUAAUUGCCAAAACAUGGUCAACUUAGUACUAGUCUCCACAACCAUCUGGAAGUAUUAGUUUUUGGAUCUUUUUCUUUUGUGUUAUGUUGUCAAAAUUCUCUUUUUUCUUUUUUGAAAAAUUUGUAGUUGGUGCUUAAAGCAUUCAGGGGGUAAUUUAAACCAUGUGUGUAUUCUAGAAACAUAAAUUUCAUACUGCCUGAAUGUUAGAGCAUUUUUCCCAGCCAUCAUUUUCGUUACAAUAUCUUGUGCUUCUUUGGAUACUAUUAUUGUACAUAUUACAAGUUUGCUUCCAGACUUGUUAACCAUAUUUUAUUAAUGUGCUGUGCUUUAAAUCUGUUGUGAAAAUUUUCAGGUAUGAGCUUUUCAUGGAAGCCUUUGAUCAUAUUUCUAAGGGUAUAGACAAAAUUUACAAGCAAUUAACAAAGAGUCAAACACAUCCACUUGGGGGGACAGCAUAUCUGAAUCUUGAAAAUGAGGAUGAGCCUUUUUUGCAUGGAAUCAAAUACACAGCCAUGCCUCCUACCAAACGGUUCAGGGAUAUGGAGCAGUUAUCAGGUGGGGAGAAAACUGUGGCAGCACUUGCCUUGCUAUUUGCAAUUCACAGGUACUUUCUGUGGGGAACUUCUCUUUGGUUUGUUGUAUAGUAAUUUUAUGCCCUAUUUUGGCCACCACCUGAUUCUAGUUUCUCCUUUCAGUGGAAUAUGUUUUGAUUUUUGCUAAAUAACCACUUUCUUCGUGAACUUCUCCAAUACUCGUGCUUAAGCCAUCUGAAAAUGUGAUUCCACAUGUGAAAAAUUUCCAUGCUGUUUAAUUAUAAUUUGAAAUGCCAUUUGAAUUAUAGUCACUAUGUUGCUUUCUUUGGGAGUCUUUAUCUGAUUAUGGCAAUCUGCAUGGACCUAUCUUUAUUUGGCCUGAGGACCCAGAUAUUUGAAGAUGUUUUUACCUGUAGUUUACCUUAAAUAAGGCAUGCUAUUCAAGCCAUAGUGAAGCAGAUCUUUUCCAUCUGAACAUUUAUUCUUUUGUUACUGCUUCAGUUACAAGCCAUCUCCAUUCUUCAUUCUGGAUGAAGUUGACGCAGCGUUAGAUAACUUGAAUGUUGCCAAGGUUGCUGGGUUCAUUAGGUCAAAAUCAUGCGAUGGUGCUCGAGGCAGCCAAGAUGGUGAUGGAGGAUGUGGUUUCCAGAGUAUCGUGAUAUCACUCAAGGACAGCUUCUAUGACAAAGCGGAGGCAUUAGUCGGAGUGUAUAGAGACUCCGAAAGAAGGUGAUGCUAGUCUUUCUUGCAGGAUAUCCCUUACGAGAAUGAUUUUAGUAUUUUACAUCUGACUCAUAAUCUUAGUACUGUAUGAUUGCAGCUGUUCAAGAACUUUGACGUUUGAUUUAACCAAGUAUAGGGAGUCAUGAAGCCAUGUCAUGAGAUUAUGUUGAGCUCGUAAACAACUAAAUCAAGUGUCUUGACCGAUCCAGGACAAGCGAUCAGCUGCUGUAAAGUAUUUUAUCGUGUAGAUUACGACACUUGGAAAAUUUGCUCUUUUCUUGAAAUGUGUUUAAAUAUCCACUGUAGGAAAAAUAGUUGUAGUGGUUGUGAAAUAACUGUAUCAGAAUGAUGAUUGACAUUUAACUGUUGGUUCAUAGUGGGACGUCAGGCCCUUGAACAUUGCAUAGCUCUUAUAGAUUGUGGCAAGUACAGAAUUAUCUAUUUGCUCCAAAUUUGCAGUCCAUGUAGGAACAAUUUGUGGGAUGUUUAAGAGUCUGCAGAAAAGAUUCCGCGGCUCCCAUUUUAUGCAACUAAAAAUGGGGAACAAAAGAUGUAUGAUGAAAGUUGUACCGAGGAUUCAGACGUUUGUGGUGACCACUGGUAUUGUGCUCAGUAAGUUUGAUCUGCUACCGUGCAGAUCAAUGUCUUGAUCUUUUCGACUAAUAGGCAUUGGAUAAAAUGUCAGCUUAUUUGUAUUAUAUUCGGUGUCGUUAUAUUUCAGUAAAAUUGGUACUCCAAUAAGUUGGUGUUUUAGUCAUCAACGAGUAUGCCGUUCUUGCUUGCAAUUGUAUCAUCAUGAUAAUGCUUGUGAUAGUCUUCGAAACAAUAUUCUUAGCAAUGUAUAUCUUGCGGAAUGUAAUUUCCGCAGCCAAAGAUGGAGGUCCUCUUUGCGUAGGUAAUGCUUAUAAUUGGAUGGCACCAAGCUACUCAUCUUGAACAUGGAUCGACGUGCACAAUAUCUGUUAGCCUCUCUGCGUAGUGAAACUUGUGAUUGGAUGUAUGUGUGUAUAUAUAUAUAUAUAUAUAUAUAUAUAUAUAUAUNNNNNNNNNNNNNNNNNNNNUCUCUGUGUAGAGACACAUAUGUGUGUAUAUAUGUGUGUAUAUAUAUAUAUAUAUAUAUAUAUAUAUAUAUAUAUAUAUAUAUAUAUAUAUAUAUAUAUAUAUAUAUAUAUAUAUAUAUAUAUAUAUGUGUGUAUGUAUGUAUGUAUGUAUAUUUAUGUAUGUAUGUGUAUUUAUAUAUACAUAUACAUAUGCAUAUAUACAUGUAUAUAUUUGUUCAGGCUUAAAUAAAUGGAAAACCUAAUAAGUUGGUUGUUUUUUUUUUAUUAAUAGAUCUAAUAUGUUUUUGGUUAACAAUACCAAGUGGAAGUUAGUCCAUUAAUUCUCAUUUCAUCUCAUUAGGAAUACUUCUCUGGGCAUGAGAGAGUUGCUUCAAAGUUGAACAGGGAGAUGGAGCAACUUGGCUACUCUUUCCAGAUAUGUAAUAUCUAUAUAGAGUGGGAGGAUAUAUAUAAUUCAGGAAUGGAACCUCAUUUUGGAAAUCUAAGUAGCUUAGAGUGGGAUGCUUGGGAUUUUUUCUUCUGUAAAUUGUGACAAUAAAUCUGAAUUACUGUAAGAGGGCUUCCUUUCUCUUCUUUCAAGGAUUCUUUGGUCAUCUUCUUCCCUAAAAAAAAGGACACGGAACCAAGUUCUGAUGCAUAGUUUACAACAAGAUUCCAAUGAUAAUUAUGUAGUGCAUCUUUCAUGGUUAUUCAUAAAAAUAAACAUGGAACCAACUUCUUAUGCAUAAUCUACAACAAGAUUUUAAUGAUAAUUAUAUAUAUCUCCUUUUCGUAUCGGGUGCAGGAUAUAGACAAUAUGCAACCAUUUAUGAUUUAAGAUUGAAUUUUCACCGGUGACUCUUCAUAUUCAUUUUUUUUAUUAUUAUUUUUCUUUUCUUCUUCUUUAGAUUUUUCAUUCAUUCUUACUUGAUUCUUCUUCUUCAUCUUCAAAUUCUGCUGGUUGUUGUUCCUUUUCAGUCUAGUUAGAGGAGGAAAGGGUGAGAAGUGUGGUUUGUUCCUCACGAGCACCCCUAUUCCUGUUCGUGGGAUGCUCCUCGUCCCCAGGUCAAGCCUGUCAAGUUUGGAGGCACUUGAACAUUCGCGUCUCUCUUUGAGGUAUCUUCGCAACACUCCUAGACGACCUCGGCCUUUGCAGUCAGAGGUGCAGCAACAUUCAAUCUCCCAUUGUUUAUUCUGAGGGCCCCACGAGCUUGAAAGCUGACUAGCAGCGCAUCCAAUAUCUACAUUUGGAUCUUAUUAGUCUACUAAGCAUCCGUACGACACAAAGAAAGAAUUGGACUCAUCUUCGGCAAGAGCAAGAAGACAAAGAUACCACGAUGACCACCUCAGUCUAGCCCAAACAAGUGAAGCAUGCCACGAAAGGCCAAGGAGGAUGCUAGCUAGGAUAUCGGCAAGCUUAUUAUCUUGCUCCUCCUGCUUGAUUACCCUACCCUUAGUGGUGGUCUUUCAAUUCCAUGUCUAAGACUAGUCUUAGCAUAUACUAGACAAGGAAGAACCUGUUCCUCUAGCCUUUCACUGACCUCAGCAUUCCCCCAAGGGUGCGGAUAACAUUCAACUAGCACUCACCAAUAAAAAGACAUCUAAGUAACAUCUGUUGAGAUUUGAUUCAUAGUUAUCUAUCUAGAUUGUUAUCAUGAUCUAGUGGUUACAUGAUAAUUUCAAUAACCACUUCAAUCUUGAUCUCUAGUGGUUACAUGAUGAUUUCAAUAACCACUUCAAUCAUGAUCUAGUAGUUAUAAGGUGGUUUCAAUAACUACCUCAUGAUCUAGUAGUUAUAGGAUGGUUGUCACUAGAGACUCUGUGUGCACUUGGUAUCUUGUAAGUGUUCCUCCUGCUUUUAAUAUUACAACAGUUUUCUUGAGUCGAAAGGAUUCUUUUUACUCGUAUUUUAGUAUUCUGUUGUUCCUUGCUCCUUCAUCCCCAACAACAUCAGUCUCAAUUAUACAAUUAAAAAUAUUUCGUAAUUAUAAAAUUUUCUUGUUCAAAAAAAAAAAAAAAAAGGAAUCAGGCAGAAGUCUGAGCUUUAUUCAGGCAAAGAUUUACCUGCUGAUCUAUCGAGUUUCGGAUUUGCCAUUUGAGCAUGUUUGAUCACCAAGCUGCAAGUCCUUGGUUUCUGCCAAAUAGCAGCUAAAACAGAUACUGUCCCCUACAGUUCAGCUAAGCUUUUAUCCCACUAGUCCUUCCAUUUUGAACCCUUUUACUUCUCUAUACUCUUUAUUUACAGCACACAACCUUGAGGGCCAGAAGCCCAUGACUUUUCAGAUCCCCCACAUGGAUGCCGCUCUCCUCACAGCCUUUCCAUGCCUCCUGCCUGAUGCAUGCAUGCAUGCAGUGCAUGACAGGGGCCAGCUCUCUCUCCCCAGCCCACGAGAUUGGCUCUGCAAAGUAAGCUUCAGUAGGGUGGCAGGCAAUGAAUGGUAAAAGUGAAGAUAAAAUUGUGAGCCACAAAGCUCUCUGCCCGGUCCUUGGUAGACCAGGCAGGCAUGCCUUGAUGAAGUGGUCCUCUGAAACAAGGACAAUCGACAAGGGAUCCGUCCAAAUCGAUGCAGGCAUUCUCCACAUGGGAUUCUGUAACUUUCAACAGCCAUCCCUCAUGGCAUACCUCCAUCCCGGGAAACAUAUAUUGUUCCUUGGUACCAAAGAUUACACCAACGUCCAACACUAAUAGUGGUAUUACACAUCGAAAAGGACUUCAAAGCACAAGAACUAUUCACAUUGUUGAACUCCCAAACACCCAAAAGCCUCACAUACUCGAAAGUCAUCAGAGACUACAUAAUGAGGAUUCCAUAAGAGUUUGGGUGAGGCAGGGACAAUCUUUCAUAACAACCGAGUACCAACAAUGACAAUGCUUCCGAUCAGUCAUCGGUAAUACGUUCAAGACAUAUAUCAGAAGCUAAGCAUGAAUACUCUAUGAUGUCCAACACUGGCACCGAGAAGCUCCGAAUCACAGAGGCCACAUAGAGGGCAUUCAGGAGUGUGGUUUCAGAAGCUAUGGAGUUGGGUAAGCAUUGCCACCAGCUCAUCGCUCGAUGGUCGGUCAGCAGGCAAGUCUGACAGGCAUACAAUAGCGAUUCUGAUUGCCAUCAGCAUCUCCUCUUCUUCCAUCUCCUCCCCUAGGAUGCCUUUAUCCAAUGCUUCCCGAGCCUCUCCAGCUUGCUGCAAGUGCCUGAGCCAUCGGCCCAAGCUGCCUCUCCCUGUCUCUCCUGCAAAGAACGGAUAGGACGGGUCUUUUCCCGUGAAAAGAACGCCUAGGAUCACCCCGAAACUAUAGACAUCACUCUUGUCUGUGUACCUGAGGAACGUCGGAACCAACUUCAGGGAAUGCAUUCAUCAACUAGCGAAGCAUGGGAAAACCUCAAGCAUUCAUGUUAAGCACUAAAUUUCAGUAACCAUAACAAAAUAACAUUGAAUCAGAAUUAAUCCGCUUGAUCGGAAAAUGUUCAUGUUAUGACUAACAGUCUGCUUUUCAAAGUUAGCCUUAGCUCAAACAGGUCAACAUAUAAUCUGAAUUCAGGGACAGGAAUUCGGGCACCAUUGCACCUAGAAAACUUUGAUACUGUGGUGGAGUGUAUCAGCAUGCCAAGAAAAGCACUCCAAUUUCACAAGUACACGCUCAAAAUCAUAAAAGGACCAUAGCAUAAACUAUAGCAGUAAAGGCAAUGAAUGCAAUAGGCUAGUUUUUUUAUCUAAAGUGGAUUAGAUAAAGUUCUGUCCUAUGGAAAGCAGUCAAAAUUCUCAUUGAAAACCAAGCCUAUUAUCAUGUACCACAUCAAGCUUCUAGCUUUAAGAAGGAAAGGGAGUGGAUCACAAGAAAAGAAUUAAGGCACACAACAACUUCAGCACUGUAAUUGACAUCAAUGCUUUAGCAGUUCAUAAUAAUCUCAGUUGCCAAACGCAAAACGAAAGGGCUUUGUGAUACCUGCAACUCUGAAAACACUCGGGAGCGACAUAGUGAGUGGCGGUGCUCGGUGUAUCCAGCCGAGAGUUUUCCAGCAUCGCCAAUCCGAAAUCCCCUAAUCUUGGCUCGAACCCUUCGUCGAGCAUCACAUUCGAUGGCUUCAGACCGUAAUGCAGAAUCCUCCGGCUGCAUUCAAAGUGGAGAUACCUUAAUCCCUUUGCAAUUCCAACUGCAAUCCGAAGCCUCGCGUCCCAUCCAAGCGUCAGCUGCUGUGAGCGCACCCGCGCCAUCGCGUCCUCCAGGCUUCCACCGGGGAUGUAGUCGUACACCAGCCAGAACCGAUCUUGAUCACGGAUGUAGGCCCUCAAGCUCAUGACGUUCCGGUGCUUCACCCUCGCCAGCAUUUCCAGCUCAUGCUGCACUCUUCUCUUCUGGGAGUUGGAGUUCACAGGCGGAGAUCCACUGGAGGGGCUCGGUUCGAGCCUCUUCACCGCCAUGGUCAGCUCGUCGUCAUCCAGGACGACCCGGUAGUACUUUCCGUUGAGGCUCGACCCGAUCAACUGCAUCGAUUGGGCAUCGGUUGAGAGCAGAGACUGCAGUGUUUUGGGGGAGAUGGAGGGGCAGAACACGACGGGGCCUUUGAGAAUCGGUGCCCGACAGGCAUACAGGAGGAGAAGUCGAACCAGGAGCAGGAUGAUGAUGGAGGCGACAAAGCCGGUGAGCGAGCCAAAGAGAGCGCCGAGGAGGAUUCGGCGAAGGCGAGGAUUAUGGGGAAAUUUGGGAGUCCUGGAAGGGGAAGAAGGUGCUGGGGAAUGGAAGAGGGUGGGCUCAGAAUGGAGGGCUUGGGAGAGGGUGCUCUCUGGGGCUUGGAACACAAGGAAGGCAAGCAAGAGGAGGGUCUUGACGGCAAGGGUUCUACUAGGGUUUUGGCUCUCCAUGGAAGAGAAAGCCAAGAGCUCCCAAAAGUUAAAACAAGCGAUUCCAAUAUGGGAUUUUCCCGAGGAUAUGAGGUGGAGAACACAGCAAAAGAGCUUGAAAAGACAUUACGAACAAAGGAGAAAGCAUGAGAGGGGAGGCAACGCACAGGGUUUGAGAUGGAAAGGGCGCAUCUUUAGCGCGAGUUUUCGAAGGAAAACACAAGCAUGAGCUUUGGGCUUCUUCUUCUCUCUCUCUCUCUCACCCAACUAGUACGAAGAAGUGUGUCCAAGAUGGAAGGUUUAGCAGUAUAUUGGUGAGAAAAGAGAUCAACAGCCCGCCCGCACAGCAACCCAAGACACUCACAAGUUUUGAUGCAAAAUUGAAUUUUGCUUGAGCUUUUGCACCCACAGAGUAAAGAAACGAAAAGCUUGGGCUCACAGAAGACGGGAGAGCUUAUCUGAAGUGGAAACAGACUAACAUCCCCAUUGUCACCACAGAACAGCCCCAGAUUCCAGAAACCAGAAAGGUUGAUGAGCUCAAAGAUGGUAGUCCUGUGAUUGUUGUCAGGUGAACAUGCCUGAGAGAACACUACAAGGCAGCUCCUUUUUUUGUGUUUCUAGCAAAGAGGAAACGAACACAAGAAGGCAAGAACCAUCGAAGCAAGAAGAUGACACAAAAGGCCCUUUUCUUCCUCUUCCUCGCCCCCACCCAAAAUCACAGACAACAACUCACUGCGACUCAAAAGCCCGGCAUUCCAUAGCCAAACACACUGUUUUUCUUUUUAUUUUCCUUCAGCAUUCGCCUCAUGUUCCAAUCCCUCUCCUCGUCACUCACCAAGAGAACCUACAAAAGUUACAGGAGACGGGUUCCGCUGCUCAAGCGGGAGAGAGGGAAAGGAGGAGAGUGUGUCUGUGAGAGUGAGAGAGAGAGAGAGCGCGAUACCUUAUUUUGCGUGCAGCUGGGUUCCGUGUGGCUUUGUGCGUGGUGAUUUCCUCUGCUCCUCGUCGCAGAUUCCUCUUCUGGGAAGGAGAGGAGCAACUCAUCUCAUUUUCUCCCCUGCUAAGAGUUACUGCUGCGAUGCUUCUCCACUUGUUUAGCUUCGUCGCAAAUCGCUCUCGCUGCCACCGCUACAGUAAAAGGAUGGCCAAUUUCCGCUCCGUUUAACUGGAUAAUGUCCUCUGGUUUUAUAAAUAUAUCCAUAUAUUUACUAUUAUAAAGUAAAGUUUAUAUAUGCUUUCAGACAUGAGGAGGACAGACCAUCAUAUGACUUUUGGUCCUAAAUUUAUCUUCAAGUUUAUAUAAAAAAAAACCCUAUUAUUAUUUCAUUCAUUUUUAAGGAUAUGAUUAUAAAAUAUAAAAAAAAAGUGUAAAUCUUUAAUAUUUCCCGCCUGUUUUGCUUUUUUUCUUACACUUCGGAAUUGGGCCGUUUGAUCGAGUGGGCCCCGGUUGAAGCGGUCUGUCGCGGUCACGGGACCCAAAGCGACGCCUCAGCCACGUUAGAAUAAAUAUGUGUUGUGUCAGAUGGAGGUUGUUUUGAGAGUUGUAGCGGAUCCUCCAUCGGAGUCUUUCUAUAACAAAGAUAAAUAUAUGUUGUCUGUGAUCUGUCAUAUAUUUUUAUUUUGUUAUUAAAUUACUUCUUGGAUAUUUUGAUAAUUUUACUUAGAAAAGUCUCUAGUAAUUGGUUUUUAACGGAUGAUAUUCUUUUCUGGAGACAUUAUUAUCCCAUAGUAUUUUUUUUAUAAAUCUUAAUUUUAUCUUCAUAUUUUAAAUAUUUUUUAAUUCUCUGAAACUAAUUUGGAUCAUUGAACCAUCAACCUGUAAGUCACUCAUCCACUUCCUCUCUUCUCUCCUCCUAAUCGAAAAAUAAUAUAUAUAUAUAUAUAUUGGAAAGAAUAUUAAAUUAAAUUGGUUUGAUUUAAUUAGAAACAAAGAGAAUAAAAAUAAGAAUUAAGGUGAUGCAGUGUGUGCAAAUCAAGUGGAGGCUGAUGAUUGUGGGUGGGGUCCAGGCUUAACCUUUCCCAUCCAUCAUUAACGUAGUAUUCAAAAGAGGUGAAAUCUUUUGGUUCCUGUUCGAAACCGGACAAGCAAUCCGAAGCAGGGUUGGCCGAGGGUAAAGAGAAUAACUUUAGUUUGGUUCGCCUAAAUUUCACAUUCCCAAACCAUGUAUGCUUCCCAUCUUUAUGUUUCUUGCUUUGCUUUAAUUCAAUCAAUACUUCUUUAGCGGCCCAAGAAGCUAUUGACGCCGCACGCUUAGCCCCCUUUUGUUUUUUGCGUGAAAAGGCGUGCUUAAAAGCUUGAAUCAAAGGAAGAAAACAUCUCCGAAUUAAAAAGCUACCAUAGUGGAAGGAGGAACUAAUUGACAAUGGUGCUUGAGUGGAUGUGUUUCGAUGAGGUAUCCAUGUGGAGGUAGAAAUAGAUAAGGGUGAAUUUAUUCCAUUCCCCUUCGACUUUCUUUUGAGAAAAAGAAAAUGCACUCAAGUGCAUAUUCUCUCCUCCACCAUGCACAGAAUAACUCCUUUUGAGAGAGAGCCGCACCACGUAGAAAAAGAUGCUGCUGCAACUAAUGUGUGUUCUCGAUAUGAUAUUAUUUAUUUAUUUAGAUUCCACAUAUAUCAUGGAGAAAUAAAUUUAAAUAUUUUAUCAAGUGAAGAAGGAAGAGAAAAAAAAAAUAAAUUAAAAAAAAGAAGAGGAUGAGUCAAUGCCCGAUGGGGAAAGACGAGUGAAGUCGUCUUGCGAUAGAAUAGAGGUGAUGGUGUACCGACGAUUGAAGGCAAGAUGAUGAUGGAAAGAUAUUUUAGUUGAAAUGGUAAAAAAGGAUUGUCUCUAGGUAAAAGCUAAUUAGGGGACGUCAUCCAAUAAAAGUCCAAAAGUAAAAUAAAAAAUUAAAUAAAAUACCUUAGAAAUUUUAUGAAUAUGGAUCGAAAGAUUACAAUAAUCUUCUAUUGUGUAAGUUGAAACAGGUUCUAUAAUCAGAUUUAUGAAGUAGUUGGAUUCAUCCAACCAUUUUGAAUUACAUUUUUAGUACUAAUUCAAUGGGUUUUCAAUUAUUUCAGGGAUAAUGGUUAGUACUUGAGUUAGAUCUAUUCAAGAGUUUGAUUAUAGUAGAGAGAUAAAUAUUUGAUUAUAGUCAAAUAAAUUUUUUUCACUAAAAAUUUAUAAAAUUAUAUGUAAGAAUUAUAAAAUUAUAUCUAUCGAAAGGUUGAAUCAGCAUAUGCUAAUAAUAUUAUGGACUAGAGAGUAAAAUUUUAAAGAUAAUAAUGUAAGAAUUUUUAAUAAUAGGAUGAAAAGAGAGAUAAUUUUAGAUGAAAAUAAUAUUAAAAUUAUUUAAAAUAUAAUGACUAAUAGGUUAGAAACUUAAUAAAAGAGAUCCUUGAUAAAAUAAAAGGUAAGGGUGUAGCUUUUUGAUAGGGUUAGUGGUAGUGUGAGAAAGUUCAAAAAGCAAUUAUCACUAAAAAAAUCAUAGUUUAAAGAUUGAUAAAAUUAUAAAAAUAAGAAAAAUUUAAUAGAUAUAAAAAAUCUAAAAAAAGUGGCUAAAAGGACUAUUAAUAUGGCAAGAUCGAGAAAAAUUAAGGAUCUAAAUUUAAUAGUAUAUGAUAAUUUUUAUAAUAAAUUAAGUAUUAAGAUGGACAAAAAUAUUAGAUUCAUCAAGUUAGAGAAAGAAAGUACUAAAGAUCCAGUUGCUAAAGCUAGAGAAAGAAAGUGAAAGAAUUUAGGUAAUAUUAGAUGCAUUAGGAUGAAGGUCAAAGAAUACUUAUUGAUGAUCAUGACAUUAAGAAAAUAUUGAAAUAUUAUUUUUAUAAAUUAUUUAAUGAGCAUUCCACACAUUCUUAGCUCUAAUGAUAGAUAAUAAUAAUAGAUUUAAUAAUUAUAAAUUUAUUCAUAAACUUAAAACUAGUAAAGUAAAAGAAAUCUUAAAAAAGACGAUAAUAGCUAAAGUGUGUGAUUUGAUUGUAUCCCUAUUUAGGUUUAAAAAAGUUUAAGAGAUAUAAGGGCAACUUGGUUAACUAGCAUAUUUGACAAAAUCAUAAGAUAUCUAAUGUAUGGUAAUUAAGUUUUUUAGUAUCAAUUUAGAAGAAUAAGGGUGACAUAUAAAAUUAGUUUAAUUAUAGAGAAAUUAAAAUCACGAGUCAAAACUUUAGAAAAGAGUUAUUGAAAGUAUGAUAAGGCUUGAAACAAAUAUAUUUGAAAACUAAUUUAGUUUUAUGCCUACAAGUUCAAUAAUAAAAUUUAUUGAUUUAUUAAGAUAAUUAAUAAAAAUAUAGAGAGAAAAAAAUUUACAUAUAAUUUUUAUUGAUUAGAGAAAACCUAUGAUAAAGUGUUUAGAGGUUUAUUAUGGUGGAUUUUAGAAAAAAAAUAUAUUAAUUAUAUUAAUAUUACUAAGGAUAUGGACGAUAAUAUAAUAACUAAUAUUAGAACUAUAUAGAGUGCAUUCAGUAAAUUUCCUAUUAGUAUAAGAUUUCAUCAUUUCCUAUUAAUAUAAGAUUACAUCAUGGUUCCACAUUAAGUCUCUAUAUUUCUACAUAGAUAAUAUAUAAGUUUAUUAGUCAUUUAAUGUCUUUGGUAUAUGUUAUUUAAUUAUAAAAUCAUUUUAGUUGAUAAGAGUCUAAAUAUAAUUAAAUCUAAUUAUGGAGGUAAUCCUUAAAAUAUAAAGGUUUUCAAUUAAGUAGGACUAAAACUAAAUAUAUAAGAUGUAAUUUUACUAAUACUAAGAAUAGAUAGGAGAAUAUAGUUCAAUUGGAUGAGCAAGAAAUUCUUUAAAUAAAAGUUUUAUAUAUGUUAGAUCAAUUAUUUAAUAACAUAGAGAGAUUAAUAAAGAUAUUACUUUAUAAAGUAAAAAUAGGAUAGUGAAAAUAGUGAAGGAAUUAGGAGUGUUAUGUGAUCAUCAAGUACCUUUAUUAUUAAAAAAAAUUAUAAUACAAUUGUUUGACUAAUAAUGUUUUAUGAAUCUAAGUGUUGGACAAUCAAUAAGCACCAUAUGAGAAUAUUGGAAUUGAUAUAUGAAGUUACUACCAAAGAUAUAAAAAAAAAAUUAUUUGUUAAUAAUCAGGUGUCACUUUGACGAAGGAUAAAAUGAAAAAAAUUAUUUAAGAUGGUAUGAGCAUGUUUUAGGAGACCUACGAAUAUGAUACUUAGAAGUAGUGAAAUAACUAUCGUUAGUGGUUAGUGGUAUAGGUAAAAGAAACCUAAAUAAAUCUUAAUAGGAACUAUAAAAAUGAUUUGAAUACUCUUAACUCAACUAAAUAUAUGACUUUUUAUAUAUCUCAAUGGUAAUAAAAAAUUUAUAUAAUAAAUCCCAAAUAGUUGAGAUUUAUAAUUUUAUUAUUGUUAUAAUAAAAAAUUUAUUUGUCACCCUAAGUAAUGGUACUGCUAGAGGUAUAGGAUAUGGUGAUGUGUUGGAGGUACAUCAUAUUUGUACGAUGAAAAAUGAAUACUCUUUGCGUAUACUUAUCAUCUUCCUAUGUGGUACCAUCGUCAAAAACUUUGACAAAAUAUAGAAUAUGCUUGUGACUUAGGUGGUACUAUUGCUUGAGUAUGGUGGUACCACUGCUCUAAACAACUUUAGGCCAUUUGUUUAGCCUUAUAACAAGCCUAAUUCGACUCAUCUUCAAGCCAAAUGACUUUCAUGAUAAGUAGAUUUUGUUUUAACUCAAUACCGACUUAAAUUGGCCCAAAAUAACUUUAAUCAGGACUUUUAUAAAUCAACUACUUAUAUGAUAUAUCUUUGAAGGUUUUUGUGCAUUAUCCACUCUUUCUACAUAUCAUCCGAUCUUUUGACAUUUUGUUCGAAUCUCUAGCACAUCAUUCUGUCCUCUAGUAUAUCGGUUUCACUACAAUAUCUAAUAUUCUAUAUUGAUAUAUGUUCUUAUUGGUAUAACAUCUGAAGUUAAUUUUUAGACAUUUCAAUUAAUCCGUCGGCUUGAUGUCUAAUUUUUAAUAUAAUAUUCAAAUAUUCAACUCCAUAUUUGGCUCUUCAAUGGUUCAAGUCUAUGAUCGAAGUAUUUUCUACUUUACUUAUCUCAAAAAUAUAUUAGUUUAUAAAAUUCAUAAAUUAAUUACAUUAUCAAAAUCUAAAAUGCAACAUUGGAAACUUUGAAAAAAUAUUUGAUGAGUAGUUAAUGAUUCAAGAUCAUUUUAGGUCAAUGUGAGCUAAUAUUUUUACAAUAAUCAUUGGGUUUGAAGUUGGGAUAGAAUUGAGCUUGUUAAAAUCCUAAAUAGAUGACCUAAGUAAAUAACGAUACCACUAGACCGAGUAGUAUUACUUUUUCGUGACAUUAAGUGAAUAAUGAAGUGAUCAAGAUAGAGUAUUAUAUAAUUAGAGAUACCUUUGCAAGAUCUCUAAAGACUGAAGCACUUACUCACAACUAAUCCAAGUAUAAAAAAAAUAUAAAUUAAGAGAGAAAAUUAGAUUGUAUAAUUUAAAUUGAAAGAGUUUAUUUGAUCAAAGACUUUAUCAUUAGCUAAGAUUAGGAUUAAAUUAAAUUGUAUUCUUUGAGAUUCGUUGUCGUGAACGCCAUUUAGGUUGAAAGCCAUACAAGAAAGCUUAUACUUGUGCUGUUAAAACAAGAGAGGAGCAUCAACAAAUUGUAGAAAGAGAUAAGAAAGGGUGAAAGACAUGUUGGAGGUGUUGCCAAAUGGCAAUUUAUGGAAUUUGCAAAAACCCUGCAAACUUAUAAAUAAUUUAUUUACAUAAGAAUUAAAUAUAAUGGACUUUAUUUAGCUUAUUUUCAAAAUUAGAAUAUAUGCGUUUGCAAUUUGGUAGAGUAUGUGAUUUGCACAGUUAUCUAUUGAUUUACAAAACAUCUUGUUAUUCAAAAAUAUUAAAAAUAAUAUAUAUGUUUGGUUCUAGUAAAAAGAUAUCAUUUGUACUUAUUAAAUAAAUAUUUAUUGGUUAAAAAAUAAUUGUUUUAUCAUUAUAGUUGUCCAAAAAGAUUGAAAUAUAUUUGAUUAAUAUUAGUUUUAAAUGUUAUAUGAUUUCAUCAGAUUUGAAAUAAUAAAUAAAAAAAUGUACAAAACUAUAGUUUUAGAAGAUUACUGUUUGUAACCCUUUUUUUUAUUAUUUACAACCCCAUGUUUUUAAUAUUUCUAAAUUAUCCCUAUGUAAAUAGAUAUAUAUGCUCUCAAUAUAUAACUUAACUUUAAUAAAUCUUUUUAUUUCUUACCUAUAACUUUGUUUUUUCUUUUAUCUUCUUCUUCUCCUUUUCCUUCUUUUUAACAAACAGAUAGUGAUAAGCUAAAGAUUGAAGAGGAGGUGAGAAAUAGUUUUUAAUGUUUGUUAUAAUGAUUUAAUUUUUAAGAAUAUGUUUCUCUAAUAAUCCAAAAGACAUCAUCUUUUAGGUCAAUUACAUUAAUAUAGAAUCUAUCAUAUUUCGGGGAGAACUAGUGGCACUAGUAUGUGUAAGCGAGAGCUAUGAGAAAGAAAAAAAAAAGAAAAAAUUAUAAAUAAAAUUAAAGGGAUUAUAAAUAGUAAAAUAUUAUUUUAUUAAUUUUUAAGAAAAUAUAAAUAGUAAAAGAGUUGUGAAUAGCAAGAAAGGAACUUAAAAAAAAUAAGCUUCUAGUUUUAUAGAUGAAUUCCUAAAAAUACACUUUUAGUUUUGAGAAAUUUUACCUAAACUUUGAAAAUUCUCACGAGUCUCAACUUUUUAAAAUGACAAAAGUAACCCUCCAACAACUUUUAGCUUUUCCUCUUAAAAGAUACAUCUUCUCUUUUCACCUAUUUUUAUAAACUAACCCAUAUAAUUGAAUCGAUUAAUAAUAUUAAAUGAUAAUAAACUAGCCAAUCUACAACUUAUACUAGUUCAAAAUAAAUUAUAUUAAAUAAUUUACUAAUAUAUAAUGAUUUAUAUUAUUAAAAUAAUAUAUAUAUAUAUAUAUAUAUUAAAUUAUUAAAAAUAAUAAAGUAUAAAUGAUAAUUUUAAAACUAAAUUUUCUAACUAUAAAGUAAAGAGUAAUAUAAUAAUAAUAUUUAUAUAUUUUAAAAAUAAAAAAUCAUUUCAAAUAUAUUUAAAAAGUACAAAUAAAUUUAAAAAGGUCUAUAUGACCAUUAUUUUAUAAUUUUAACUUUUUAAAAUAGUUUAUUUACUAAUUUUGACCAUUAAAAAUUAAAUAUAACCCAAAAAUAUCAAAAUAAUAUAAUCUUAAAAUCAUAAAUAAAUUAUAUAAAAUAAUUUACUAAUAUUUAUCGAGUUUAUAUUAUUAAAAAUAAUAAAUAAACUUAAUAUAAUAAACUAUAAAAAAUAAAAAUAUAAUAAGCUAAUUUUAAUAAAUUUAAUUAUAAAGUAAAGAAUAAUAUAAUAAUAACAUUUACAUAUUUUAAAAUAAAAUAUACAAUAUAAAGGGGGUGGAUUUUAUUAACCAUAAUUUUUUUACUUAUUUAGAAGAUCAAAUACUAAAAAAAAUAUUCCAUGAAGGUUUUGUGAAAAAAUUAUAGCAUUUUGAAUUGUUAGUGUAUCAGAUAUAUUAUUUUUCUAUUUAUCCCAAAAACAGUGUAUCUGAUACCAAGGUUUAUUUUAUCAUAGGUUUCUUACCUAUUUGGAAGCUCAAAUGUCAAAAAAUAUUGUAAGGUUCCAUCAUAUUUUGGUAGAAAUAAAAAUAGAAAAAAAUAGAUAGUUCAUGUGGUGAAUAACUUAUAUAAAUAUCAAAAAUAUCCAUUUAGAUAUGAUUCAAAUAUUUCACACAAAAAUUUACAGCAAUUUCACUAGUCCUUGUAUCAUAUACAUUAUUUUUUAUUUCAUCCCAAAAAUUAUACAUCUAAUAUCAGGUCUUAGGUUUUGUGGACCAAAUUUUUACAAUAGAUUUUUCACCUAUUUAGAAGUUCAAAUGUCAACAAAAAUCAUAAUGAUGUAUCCUGUUUUGAUGGAAAUAAAAAAAUAGAGAAAUUUAAAAAAGAUAAACUAUUCAAAGGGUGAAUAACCCCAAAAAAUAAAAAAAAUAAAAUAGAAAGUAUCAUAAAUGUCCAUUAGGGUGCUAGGUAAAGGUUUCAUAAAAAAAUCACUGUAUUUUGACCAAUCCUAGUCUUAGAUACUCUAAUUUUUAUUUCACCCCAAAUAUAAUGUAUCUAAUACCAAUGCUUAGGUUUUGUUGACCAGAUUUUUAUCAUACGAUUUUUACCUAUUUAUAAAUUAAAAUAUUAAAAAAUUACAAGGAUCCAUCAUAUUUUGAUGAAAAUAAAUAAAAAACUUAGAUAAAUUAAAAAAAUGUAGAUUAUUCAAAUGAUGAAUAACACAGAAAAAAUCAAAAAAGAUAUAAAAAAACAUCAUAAAUGUCCAUCAAGGUGCUAGUUAAAGUUUCCAUGAAAAUUUUACUAUAUUUUGACUAGUCUAUGUAUCAUAUACACUAUUUUUUAUUUCACAUAAAAAUUGUAUCUAAUAUGAAGGCUUAGGUUUUGUGAACCAUAGGUUUUCCAUCUAUUUAGAAGCACAAAUGCCAAAUCUAUCAUAUUUUGGUGAAAAUAAAAAAAUAGAGAAAUCAGAAAAAGAGCAUACUAUUCAAAUGGUGAACAACUCAUAAAAAUAUCAAAAAAUACUCUAAAUUAGAAAAUGUAUCACAAAUAUCCAUUUGGGUGUCGUUCAAAGGAUUCACAAAAAUUUCAUAGCAUUUUGAUUGAUCCUUAUAUUAGAUACACUAUUUUCAAUUUCACCCUAAAAAUAGUGUAUCAUAAGUUUCUCACAUAUUUAGAUCAGUCCUUAUAUUAGAUAUUAGGACUUGGGUUUGAUGGAUCAAAUUUUACCAUAAGUUUCUCACAUAUUUAGAAGCUCAAAUGUUAAAAAAUAUUAUAUAAAUCCUUCAUAUUUUGGUGAAACUAAAUAAAAAAAAGAAUAAAGGCACACUGUUCAAAUGGUGAAUAACCCCCCAAAAAAUAAAUAAAAUAAAAUAAAAAAUAUCAUAAAUAUCCAUUUGGGUGUCAUUAAAAAUUUUUUAUAAUAUUUUGAGUAGUCUUUAUAUCUGAUACACUAUUUUUUAUUUCACCACAAAAAUAUUGUAUCUAAUACCACAGCAUAGGUUUUGUGAACAGAAUUUUUAUUAUAAGGCUUUCAACUAUUUAAAAACUCAAAUGUUAAAAAACAUCACAUGGAUGCAUCUGAUCUUGAUGAAAAUAAAAAAAACAUAGAGAAAUUAGAAAAAGAUAAACUGUUCAGAUGGUUAAUAAUCCAUAAAAAUAUCAAAAACAUUAAAGUAGAAAAAUCAUCAUUUGAAUAUUUUUUAUUUUGCAAAAUUUUACAGCACUCAAAGGUUUCAUGACAAUUUUACAGCACUUUGACUAGUCCUUGUAUUAAAUACACUAUUUUUUAUUUUACCCAAAAAUAGUAUAUCUGAUACUAAGGCUUGGAUUUUGUGGACUAAAUUUUACCAUAAGUUUCUCACAUAUUUAGAAGCUUGAAGGUGAAUUUUCAUCACAAGGAUCCAUCAUAUUUUGAUGAAAUAAAAAAAUAAAAAUUAGAAAAAAAGGCAAACUAUUCAAAUGAUGAAUAACUUGAAAAAUUAUUUAAAAUUUUUGCAAAAUAAAGAAUAUUAUAAAUGUCCAUUAGGGUGCCAGUAAAUAGGUUUAUAAAAUUUUUACAGUAUUUUGACUAAUUAUUGUAUCAAAAUACAUUAUUUUUUAUUUCAAGACUAAAAUAAUAUAUCUAAUACUAAGGCUUGAAUUUUGUGGACCAAAUUUUUAUCAUAGAUUUUUCACCUAUUUAGAAGCUCAAAUGUCAAAGAACAUUGCAAAGAUCUAUAAUAUUUUGGUGGAAAUAAAAAAUAAAUAAAAAAGGCAGACUAUUUAGAUGGUGAAUGACCCAAAAAAUAUUUUUAAAAAUUUUUAAAAUAGAAAAUUGUAUCAUAAAUGUCUAUCAGGAUGCUAGUCAAAGGUUUCAUGAAAAAUUUAUAUUAUUUUUACUAAUCCUUGUGUCAGAUAUACAAUUUUUUAUUUCACCUAAACAAUAGUGUAUUUAAUGCUUGGGUUUUAUAGAUUAAUUUUUUAUCAUAAGUUUUUCACUUAUUUAAAAGCUUAAAUAUCAAAAAAUAUUACAUGGAUCCUUUGUAUUUUGGUGAAAAUAAAAAAAGAGAAAAUAGAAUAAAGAUAAAACUAUUCAAUGGUGAAUAACCCAUAAAAAUAUUAAAAGAAUUUCUAAAAUAAAAAAUUAUCAUAAAUAUCUAUUUGGGUGUUAUUCUAAGGUUUUAUAAAAAUUUCAUAAUAUUUUGACUAGUCCUUGUAUCAGAUAUAGUAUUUUUUUAUUUCACCCGAAAAUAGUGUAUCUAAAACUUGGGCUUGGGUUUUGUGGAUGAAAUUUUUAUCAUAGGUUUAUUAUAUAUGGAAGUGUUUAAAAAAUUAAUUUAAAAGGUUUUUAAAUUAAAUAAUUUAUUAUGUAUAUAUAAUAUAUUCGAUUAGAAUGUUAUGAGCUUCAAUGAGGUUAUUGAAUUUAUUGAAUAGUUUAUAAAUUAUGAUUGAUUAUAAGUCUAAAUAUGUAAUACAUAUAUUAUGAUUAAAAACAAGAAAUAACCAAUAGCUAACGAAAGUAUCUUUGACUAGUCUUAGUAAUGUUUAUCCCUCUUUAUAGAUGGGGAUAACAUCCAUAAUUAUUAUGAUACCAUUUAAGAUAUCAUACAACAUGCAUAAUAUAAAUAAACUCUCACAAUUUAAGUCAUUGAAUAUAUAUAUAUAUAUAUAUAUAUAUAUAUAUAUAUAUAUAUAUAUAUAUAUAUAUAUAUAUAUAUAUAUAUAUAUAUAUAUAUAUNNNNNNNNNNNNNNNNNNNNNNNNNNNNNNNNNNNNNNNNNNNNNNNNNNNNNNNNNNNNNNNNNNNNNNNNNNNNNNNNNNNNNNNNNNNNNNNNNNNNNNNNNNNNNNNNNNNNNNNNNNNNNNNNNNNNNNNNNNNNNNNNNNNNNNNNNNNNNNNNNNNNNNNNNNNNNNNNNNNNNNNNNNNNNNNNNNNNNNNNNNNNNNNNNNNNNNNNNNNNNNNNNNNNNNNNNNNNNNNNNNNNNNNNNNNNNNNNNNNNNNNNNNNNNNNNNNNNNNNNNNNNNNNNNNNNNNNNNNNNNNNNNNNNNNNNNNNNNNNNNNNNNNNNNNNNNNNNNNNNNNNNNNNNNNNNNNNNNNNNNNNNNNNNNNNNNNNNNNNNNNNNNNNNNNNNNNNNNNNNNNNNNNNNNNNNNNNNNNNNNNNNNNNNNNNNNNNNNNNNNNNNNNNNNNNNNNNNNNNNNNNNNNNNNNNNNNNNNNNNNNNNNNNNNNNNNNNNNNNNNNNNNNNNNNNNNNNNNNNNNNNNNNNNNNNNNNNNNNNNNNNNNNNNNNNNNNNNNNNNNNNNNNNNNNNNNNNNNNNNNNNNNNNNNNNNNNNNNNNNNNNNNNNNNNNNNNNNNNNNNNNNNNNNNNNNNNNNNNNNNNNNNNNNNNNNNNNNNNNNNNNNNNNNNNNNNNNNNNNNNNNNNNNNNNNNNNNNNNNNNNNNNNNNNNNNNNNNNNNNNNNNNNNNNNNNNNNUUUCUUUUAUUUUUAUUUAUCUUCUUUUAUUUUCCUCUUAAUAGUUUUAAAAUUUAGUCCAUUAAAUAUAAACUAAGGGAUGAUAACGUGUUCACACUAUAAUCUUAUUCAAGUAUUUAUAAUUACAUUUAAGUUUCUAGAAUGGCAAAAUAAAUUUCCUCAUUUGAUCUAGAUAUAACAACUCCUUCAUCCUUUAAGAAAUUUAAUCUUUCAAAUUUGAAGAUUAAGCUUCUGUGAUACUGCCAAGUUUCCAUCUUAAAAUAAUAAUUAGAUUUGUAACCAAGUUAAUCCCAAUAUAUUUAUAUUGUUAUAUUUCCUUAAAAUCAUAAUAGUAUUUAGUCAUGUCUUGGUAUGAAUUGAUUUGCAUAUGGAGUAAUUUAUAUUAUGCAUGAACCUUCUCAUGAAAUCAAACAUACAUAAACAACAAUAACUUAAUGCUCCUUCGAACAUUAUUUAAACUCAUUUUUAAAGAAUCCUCCAACCCACUUCAAUUGUGGUUUGAAAAAUAAUAAAAUGAGCACAAAUGACCAACAAGGAUAAAGAACUAAUUCGAAUGAUAACAACAAUAAUAUGCUAAGUAAAUAUACAUAAUUUAUUAAAUAUAUUCACAUGAAUAAUCAUAUAUAUAGUACAUAUGAUCACGAGUAGAAAACAAAUUUAAGAGUAUCAAUUUUUUUAAAUAUAUAUAUUAAAAUAAUAUAAUAAUAAUGUAAUCAUACAUCAUCAUCAUAGUGGCUAAUAAAUAGACUUGGAUUCUUAGGAUAAAUCAACUAGCUCAAAAGCUGAUAGAGAAAAAUCAUUUCAUACAUCAAAUAGUUGAAGGAGCAAUUUUUGUAAGUAACCUUGUGCCUUAAAAGUAGGAUUUCUUCUAGCUAUUACGUCUUAUGAUCUAUCAAUUACUUAACGAGAAUCACUCUACCAAUGUCAGGUUGCAUAUCUAUCAAUAGGAAUUAUGUCUAUAAUCAAUAUGAUACCAUUCAUUAUAUCAUAUUAUAUGUAUAUGAUAAUAUAAUUGUAAACUCAUUAUUCAAUAUAACUUAUCGAUAAUAGUGUGUUAAAAAUAAUAUACAUAUUAUGGAAAAUGAUAACUUAUGCAUCCACAACCUUAAUGUGAUUUAGUAAAUGAAAACAAGAAUAAGAAAUGAAAUUUUAAGGAAGGACACGAAUCACUAACUCUUUCAUUUUCCAUAUCCUUUUCUUCCAUUCUUUUCCUUAAUGAUAAUUAUUUCCAACUUCAAUGAAUUAUUUAUAAGGUUAGGGUGUUUUUAUGAAUUCCAUAAAUUGUCAUAUAAUAAAAUCUCCACUAUUUUUAGCUUCGUCUCAAUGGUACCCAAGAUGAAAAAAAGGAAAAAAAAUGACAAAAAAAAAUGAAAGAAAUAAAAUGAUGUUUAUGGUUAAAAAUAACAAGUAUUUACAUGGAAGUUUCUUCAUUUUUCAAAAAUGAAAACCUAUCAAUCAAACAUUUCAUCAAAAGGAAUAUCAUUCUCCAAAUUAAAUAUGAAAAUAUUUUUUCAGAAUCAAGUGAAAGUUUUAAAGAGUGAUAUGCUUUGAUUUAUGUGAUAUUAUUGUAUUCUUACUUAUUUUCUAAGGUUUCCGUUUUUAGUUUUGUACAUUGGGGCUUAUAAAAAUACCAUAAUAGGUCAAAAAAUUAAAGUUUAUUUCUCAUAUUAUGUGUACGGGACUAUAUUUAUUUUUUUUGAUAAUAUGAGGCUAUAAUCCACAUGCUAGACAUGUGGAGGUAUGAGGUCUUCAACAUGGGAGUUAUAGGUAUUUUUUUAAUAUAAUUUUUAUAUUUAUAUUUUCCUCUCUUUUUUUUCCUUUAUACAAAAAAAAAUUCCUCCACUUUUGGAGCUCUCAUUAGGCUGCACAUCAUUUACAAAAGAAAAUCUAAUAGCUCAAUCGGAAACUCUAUAAUUGAGAUUGAAUUGUCAAUACUUCAUCAACAAUUCAUCAAGAGUUAGUGCUUUGAAGCCAUGGAGGGUUGAUGGAAAUUAAGAUAAUUUUCAUAUUUAUAUUGAGUAUGAAAAGAAGAAAGUUGGAUCUAAAACACUUGAAUUGGUAACAAACUCAAGUUCAGGAUCCCUAUGUUUAGUUCCUGUAUUAAUUAUGCUAAGGAAAAGAAAAUAGAGCAAAUAAAAAAAGAGUAGAAAAAUCACCUAUAGUUAUAGAAAUAGAAAACCUAUAUAUUUUCAUGUUUGAUUUGGAGAAUGAUUUUUCUUUGUUGAUAAAAUGUUUAAUUGAUAGAUUUUCAUCUUUGUAUAAUGUGAAACUUUCUUAUGGAGGGACUUAUGAUCUUCAACCAUAAUCAAUAUGUGGUUUUUUUCUUUGUUUUUGGUUAUUUUCAUCUUGACUAAUCAGGCAUUUCAUGUGUUAACAUAUACUCUUUAUGAAUGUUUCUUGAGUAGCUGAAACCUUCUUAUUUUCUCUAAAAAAAAAAAAAAGUAUGUUGAUGAUUCCUUCAUUUAAGAGCAUCAUUACACAAAAAAAAUAUUACUAGCAUCCCUAGCAAAUAUAUUUUCUUUAAACUCAUCAAAGCUAUCAAGUUGAACCUCCAGCAUUCUGGCUUUUUCUCAAAUAUAAGUGAUUAUAUUGUUGUUUGUAUAGAUAGUAAUUGAUUCAAUCAGGUGAGGAGAACUAAUAUAUGUGAUUAUAUUGUUGUUUGUAUUCAGAUGGAAUAGUCACAUUUUAGGACAUCUGAGAUGCUCCUUUGAGUUUGGUUUUAUAUUAUAAACCAUCCUUUCUAUUUAGCAUAUGUUCAUAUAAUAGGUAAAUAUUUUAACAAUUUUGAAAUCAAAAUUUUAUAAAGGAAAAAAAUUCUAAAAUUUAAGCUUUAAGUUUUAUAAAUAUUUCAUGUAUUUUAAAAUCUUGGUCAGAGGAGAGUUAGAUGUGGUAUAUUUAAUUUUCCCAUAGAGUGUUUGGAUAUGAUGACAGAUAAAGAUAUAAAAUUUUCAAGAUUUAUAUAAAAAGGUCUAUAAGAACAGUUGUUCUUAAAUAAGACUAACUCAGGAAUUUUAUAAUUGAUCAAUUUAUUUUUUAUUAUAAAUAUAAAUAAAAAAUAUCGUUUUACAUAAAUCCUAUGUCAACUCUUAUCUUUCUUUAUGGAGAGAGGGAGAGAGAGAGAGAGAGAGAGAAAAGGGAUGUAUCCCCCAUUUGAAGUUGAAUUGCAUGCAAACCCAAACAAAUCGCUGCCGUCCAAUUUGGUCUGGUCACGAAAUGGUACGCGUUCGACGAAUGCGUGCGUGCGUGCGCUACGACAAUUUUGGUUCGGUUUGACAGGUCGAGACUUCCGAUUUAGGUCCGGUUCAAUUAAGAAACCUAGAAAGAAGCUUGCGGUCCGACCCGCCACCACGUGAAGACGCCAAGCGAUGUCCGAAAAGCGAACUCCCGCAGAAGAAGCGCCAUCCCAAUCAUGGCGUGGCGCGGCGCGCGCGGUUUCGAAAUCAUCCGAAAAAUUUCGAAUCCCUCGACAGCCACGAGAAGGAAAGAAGGAUGGUUCUAAUCCUCUUCUUCGCCUACCCACACUCACGCACUCUCUCCUUCGAUGGAUUCAAAGAAACUCUCCCUCGCUCCCUCUCCAAAUCUCCUCUCUCCUUGACCUCUUCACCGGGUCUCCUUUGAUGCCCACCGGCAAGUCUUGGUACUCCCGCUGGCCUUCUGAAAGAUCUAAGAUUGAGGUAUGUGUGACGAAACCAAAAAAUUGGAGUUUUAUCUGUCGACUUGGGGAUAAUUGGGGUAUGGAAUUGGGGGGGAAACCGCUGAUCUGAUGAUUAAUCGUGCCUUCAUGUCGAUUUCUUUGUGAUUAUCUCGAAUCUUAGCCUAAAUUCCGCGUCGUGUCAGCCAAUUUUGGGCUGCUUUCAUUAUUUUUACUUGCUGAGUCCGAAAUUGCUGUGUUUUUUUUGCUUGAUAGGUCAGAUAUCGGGAGUGAUUUGCUAGGAUCAGGUGAUUAUAUUCCAAAUUUCCCAGCAAAAUCAGUUAUUCCCGGUCUCCAGAAUCCAUAUUAAGAGCCAUGGUGAGGGAGCUCCGAGUCGAAUCCUUCUACGCUCGCCUUCGUGAUGCUGCCUUGGCCUCCUCCACUUCCCCGCUUCUGGUAUUCCCUUCCGCGUCCGACGCCGACUCCCUCUGUGCCCUCAAGAUCGUAACCCAUGUCCUCUCGUCCGAUUCAAUUCGCUACUCGGUGUACCCUGUCUCCUCAUUCAGUGACGUCGACAAAUUUGUCGGCCUCAAUCUCCGGUCGUCGAAUCAGCCGCUUUCUUUGCUCUUCAUAAACUGGGGCUGCCACCGCGACCUGCGCCGGUUCUUGAGCCUUGGGCCUGAGGUUCAUGUCUUCAUCAUCGAUAGCCACCGCCCGGUCCACCUCCACAACCUCAGCGAGCAAAAUGAACAGGUUGUCGUUCUUUACACUCAGGAGGAUGAGCACCAGGCCGAUCUGGCUUAUGAUUUCGAUGUCUCCGCAUUGGCCAAUGCGUCUGAUCUGAACAGUGAUGACGAGAUUGAUGCGAACUCUGACGAUGAGGACAGCGAUGACCACAACGACCAAGAGGUCGAGGGAGGAAACAGAAAGCGUCGAAGGGUCUCUAAGGAUUCAGAACCUGACCCGAUUAAGCUCUUUGGGAAACUCAAGUCGGAGUACUAUAAGUUGGGUACUUUCCAUGGAAAGCCAUCUGGUUGCUUGUUGUUCGAGUUAGCACAUUCCCUGAGAAAGAACACAAAUGAACUGCUAUGGUUGGCCUGUGUCUCGCUUACCGAUCAAUUUGUGCAUGAAAGGCUAACCAAUGAGAGGUAUCAAGCUGGGGUCAUGGAACUUGAACAGCAUAUAAACAGCUCAGGAAAUCUGGAUGCUGUCACUUCGGUUACACUCAAGGAUGGUACAAAGAUCCAGGCACCAGAGAAUUCUCGAAUUGCAUAUGAAGAUGAGCCCAGGCUGAUGCUAUUGAGGGAGUGGAAUCUGUUCGAUUCAAUGCUGUGCUCUUCCUACAUAGCAACCAAGCUGAAAACUUGGAGCGACAAUGGCCUGAAAAAGCUCAAGCUUUUGCUAGCCAGAAUGGGGUUCCCUCUUGUUGAUUGCCAGAAGAAAUUUCAGUACAUGAGCAUGGAAGUGAAGCAAAAGAUGAAGGAUGAGUUCGAGAGAUUCUUGCCAGAGUUUGGCUUAACUGAGUUCUAUUAUCGUAGCUUCUUGAGAAUACAUGGGUAUUGCACGAAAGUUUCAGCUGCCGAUGUAGUGUAUGGUGUCACAGCAUUGCUCGAGUCAUUUGCAGCAGAAAAAGAUUCAUCGGCUGCUGAGCAAUUUUGGGUUGCUUACUCUGCCUUGUCCUUGAACAAUAUUGAUCAACUCAGAAAGGGCAUGCAAAGUGCAAUCGAGAUUCAGAGAGCUAUUCUCAGGCAAGGAAGUUCUGCAAUUACUAAAACUGGUUUCAUCAGAAGUUACAGGAAGUUUCGCUGGGUGAGGCUUGAAGAUCCUGUUGACACCCUGCGGUUGGGUCAUCCCCAGGCACUUACCAAGUUCUGCUAUUUCUUGAUGGAUGCACUAAAGGAAAGAGGGGCGAAAAUGAAGCCACUAGUCUGUGCUUGCUUGGGUAAACAACCUGACAAAGUUCUCAUUGUUGGUGUGUGUGUGAAACCCCGUCUUGGGGCCAUCCAGGGUAACUCAUUCGGAAUUGCUUUUGGAACAGCAGCUGAAGAAAUUGGAGCUGAAUUUUCUCAUGAGCUGUUUGAAUCUUCUUGGAUAAUUUUGGAUACAGUAGUUUUAAGUUCUUUCAUGGUCAGAUUAACUGAAAAAAUCUGAUGUCUUCUUAGUGCAAUCUGUAACAAUUCACUGAUAUUAAAUGCCAAAUUGGACAUCCACUUUUUCUUUGUGAUGCUGGACCUGAACUAUUCAUUUUCUUUGGAUCAAGUACAUAACAUCUUUUGCGAAUUCUAGCUCUUGGACUUUGUCCAUGUCAAUAGUGACUAGAGAAUAAAAAACAGAGUUGUAAUAAGACAUUCUACAUCAGUAUGUGUAUUAUCAUUUGAUUGUUGUUAAAACUUAGAAGUGCUCCUUCUCCCACAAUGAUAUAUCCUUUCUUUAUGACUGAAAUUUAUUAACGAAAAUGGUGUUUCACAUUUGAUUAGUUGUCUGUUUUCUAAAAUAAGAGGGAACUCCUACCUUUGUUAAACCUCUUUGUCGUCAUUUGGUCAGGAUGGAAUUCAAUUUAACAAUGGCAUUUUUCUUAUGGGUAGGCUACUGAAAGACCUGCUGGAUAGUUCAUUCAUGUACUUUAGUUUCACCAUGAACAUUUUUGAUUGAAACAGUUCACUCCUUUGUUCACGUUUCAGGAAUCUAUAGAGGACUUUUUGCAUAAAGUUAUGAGAUAAUGGUAAACUACAUAUAGAUACCAUUAUUUACCUUCAGUCAAUCUUUACCUUUUUGCAAAAUCAAUUUAAUUACGAAUGCAAGUUUUUUUUGCUGAUUAAAUUCUUGUGAAGUAAUUUGGAAAAUAGAAGUUUUUUAGUUGGACUGUAUUUGCCUAUUCAACUUGGUUUGUGAUUUUUGUUGUUUUCCAAGAUAUCUGGCAGCAUGGAGUUUUAAAAAAGACUCAAAUGAUUUAUAUACAGGAAACCACAUCAAAAUUGAUGUGUCAAUUACUUAGCAAUAUUGGCAUCAUUUCGAAAGAUCCGUGAUACUGUCAAUUGUAACCAUAGUAUUACUGAACUUUGGCCACUCUAUUAGUCAAAAUGGAAAGUGAAGGUAUGAUUUUUUUUUUUCUGUGACUCCUGUUGGUUGUUUGUACCAUUAACAUAUUUUAUGUGUAAUGCCAUCAAGGUGAGGAUGAUAUUUGUUCAAUCUUGAGUUUAGCUUAUUUAUGGAACUCUUCAUACUGUAGUGAAAAUGUUCAACAACCACUCUUAUGUUCUCUUUAACCAUUUUUGCAGGAAUUCCAUCUCAGAAAAACUCCACAUUUGUAAGAUCCAGCCACAUGUUUAACGUUCUAUAAUGCCAGUCAUCUGUAGAAGUUAUUUUAUUUUGAAGCCCAUGAACCGGCCAAUCAUCUUAUAUCGGUGAGGAAGUCAGGCAAAUAUGUUUCUUUCAGUUUGUUGUUCUUUUCUGUAUACUAUCUCAUGAACUUUCUGAGUGACAAGGGAUAUCAAUGGAAGUGAUGAACCUGAAGAUUUAACAAACUUCAGUUUAUAUUCCACAAAGCUUUCAUGUUUGAGCAUAGAAAACUGUCAUAUGUCCUACUAGAUCUCAUACUGAUGCUUGCCACAAACCUUCAACAUUCACUGAAUAUGAUUCAUUCUUUUAAUAGUUUCUUGGACACAUCUAUGCUUUCUUCAUUAAAAUCCCUUCUACAGUGCUUAAAUGCUAUCUUGCAAGCUACAAACAUUUGCAAGCUUCUCAAAAUCAUUCCUCAGGUUGGACAUCAAUUUGCUCAUUCUCUUUUGUGCUACAGAUUUCUUGGAACUUUCAGGUCUCAGCUAUGUUACAAUUGUCUUCCACUGGGAUACAAAUUAGGGACAUCAUGUACAUGUUGCAUUUGUGAUAUUUGAGAUACUGAUGUUGAACAUAUUAAUUAACAAAAUGCAGAAACUAUUGCAAUAUUCACUAGAGAAAGGCAUGCGUCUGAUUGAAGUAUACAUGUCCAUUUCACAAUUAUAACUCUUAUUUUAGCUUCCUUCAAUUGUGUCCAUUGUUGCUGCCAGGUCUUCACUUUCAAGGUCAUGUUCAUCUGUGUGGAUUACAAGAGGUAAGGCAGCUACUUUGGUAGGAAUUAUUUCCCUUUGUGAUUGGUACAAAUGCUCAUAUCUGAAGCUGUGAUUCAUUCUCCCACAACAUGUAAUCUGACUCAACAUGAUUUCCAUUACAAAGCAGUAAACAAGCUGGAAUGCUAAAUAGAAGUCAUUCAACCAAACCAUGUGAUGGCAAGGGCCCUACUUCUCAGUUCUAUGCAAGUAGUGUCUUGAGAUUCCAGCAAGAUAAGGGUUUGAAAGGUCAAAUUCAAGCCUUGUGAGAACUUGGUCUUCCAUUAGUCUCUUCUACUUAAUGGAUCCUCUUGAAGGAUGUGGUUUGUAACGAUGAUUUUCCACUGACUUAAGGAUACUGCUGUGAUGUGCAAAGAGUUCUCAUCGUAUUUUUUUCUUGGCCAAGUGCUUCAAUGAAAUCCUUCUUCUUGAUGUCAAGUUUUAACUAAAAUUUGGAUUAUGAGAUUGUGGGCUAAUUAUAGAUUAUUUUCUGUAGUUGGAUUUUUUUUUAGCAUCUUGAUUCUUAGACUUAAAAAUUUAUAUUAAAAUUAUUAUAGUUACGCAAAUGAAAUAUUUAGGUUUAUUUACUUUUAUGCAAUUGGUUUUGUUGAUGGAAACAUAAAACCAAUAGGUAAAAAAGUAAUUUUAAUAUUUUAGUUGGUGGUGAUGGAUGACAUCAGUGGUGGUAGAUAGUGGCGUCAUUAAGGAUUGCGGGUGGUUAUCGUGGAUGAGGAGAGCAAUGGUGAAAGAUAAUGGUCGUUUUGUAUUUGUAUCGAUAUUGAUGUAGUUGCGUAGCGAUCAUUUUGUCACUCUAUAUUUGUGUUGAUAUUGAUAUAAUUGUCGAGCGAUGAAAGGGUCGUUCACUAUGUCGGCAUCGAUGUAGUUGACGAGUGAUGAAAAGGCCACUCGACGUUGACACAAAUGCAAAAUAGUGUCGCUUUGCAUCUGUGUCAACACCGAGUGGCUCUUUCGUCACUCGGCAACUAUUUCGAUGCUGACGUAGUGAGCGGCCCUUUCAUCACUUGACAACUAUAUCAACAUUGAUGUAGAUGUAGAGCGACGAAAGGGUCACUCACUGCAUCGAUGCCGACAUAGUGAGCGACUCUUUUGUCGCUUUGCAUCACUUUGCAUUUGCGUUGGUGUCGAUACAUUUGUCUAGCGAUGAAAGGGUCGCCAAUGUAGAUGUUAAGUAGCUUUUUUAUUGCUCGACAAUUGCAUCGACAUCGACGCAGUGAGUAGCCCUUUCGCUGCUUAGCAAUUGCAUCGGCACUGAUGUAGAUACAGAGCGAUGAAAGAGGCGCUUGACAUAUGCUCUAGUGUUGAUGUCAAUGUAGAUAUCGAGUGACCCUCCUCUUUUGCCACCAGUCUCCUCAUCCACAAUAGCCACUUGGGGCCUUAGUGAUGUCAUCGUCCGCUAUCACUAAUGUCGUUUGUUAUCAUCAAUUGGAAUGUUAAAAUUAUUUUUUUACCUAAUAUUUUCAUAUUUUCGUUAGUAAAACUGAUGACGUUAGGGUAAAUGAACCUAAAUGUUUCACUUUUAUAACCAUAAGGAUUUCAAUAUAAAUUUUUUAAGUCUUGGGUUCAGGAUGCUAAGGAGGUCUAAUAAAAAAGGAUGAUACAUAAUUAGCCUCAAUAUUGCUAUAAUUUAAGCCGGAGAUAAGGAGCUGACCUAGGCCUUCUUUUCAUAUUCUGUUAUAUGCAUGGUUUGUAUGUAGAGAAUUGUCGAAACAUUUAUAGGAAAAUAUGAUAUUUUCCUAUAAUUAUCAAAAACUAAGGAGAAAUCUUGUUAAUGAUAAUAGACUUAGAGAGAAGAAAUUGUUCUUGUUGUCUCUUUCACAAUUUUGAAAUUUCAUGCUCUUAUGGAAUGAAAACUAUUGGAUAUAAAAACUAUAAUUUAUAUCUAUUUUGAAGGAUUACUUUCUAGUUGAAACCUACCAGAAAACCAAAAAGAAAAAAUAUUUCGCUCAAGAACUAAAUAAUACUAGCUUUGACACAAUGAUGAUUAUCUUAUACUACCUCAUAAAUGUCUUGUUCAAGCAAGGAUGAUUAUGUAAACAAUCAGAAUAUAACCAACAAUCUUGUAAAUUUUCACAUGUUUAAAGAAAAAAAAAUUGUUCCAAGUUAUGUGAUUAACAUUUUCUUGUUUGUAUAUAUACAUAACUGGUAAUUAAUAUUUUUUAACAUAGAUAAGUAAUGGUUUGACUCUCUCUUCUCCUUUCUAGAGUGAGAAGCUCUAGACUUAUAGUUUCAUCUUUAAAAGGGGUAAUUGUAGUCGCCUCCCCCUUUGUGAGGCCUUUAUUCACUACUCAUUCAAUUCCUCUUGUGAAGCUCCUUAAUCUCUCUCGUUAGUAGGCUAUCUCUCUUUUAUUUGGUUUGCUUCUCUCAUCAUCUACCUUUGAAUGCAUUAGAUUGAUGUUAGAGGAUCAUGUUAUCCUUGUAUCAAGAAUGGCAUAAGCCAUGAGCUUUCAAUCUUAUUGGCAAAUCUUUUAGGAGCAAAGAGAAGGUAAUUAGGGCUAUUAUUAGUUGUCAUUACAUUUCUCUUCCCUGCCUUGUGGUGGACAUGGCAAGGGUUAUUUCUUAUUUUGUUUCUACUUGGAGGAUGAAACCCUUUGUAUCUUGAUCAAGGGGUUAUGCUCCAUCUAAGGUGACUUAAUUGGAAUCCGUAGUUCCAGUUGAGUCCUUUGACCUCUAUGCAAUAAGUUCAAUUUUCUGAUCUACUCUUAUGGGUAUUGAACCAAAGAAGUUAUUAACCAUAUUGUAUCUAUCAUAAAAUGUAUUCUCAAAAUCGAUGAUAGAAAGGAAAAGACGUUAGGAAAAAAUAGAAGAUAAGAAGAAUUAUUAAAGAAGCUUUAGCUUGAAUACAUUAACAUGUCCUUCUCUUAUUUAUACAGAUUAGGAAGGAGGAUUGCUCCUAUCAAGGGAGGCUUCGUGAGUAGAGCAAGAGUAGAUCGCUGUUGCUGCGGUUUCUAUUGCUAUUGCUGUGACUACGAUGGCUACUGCAGUAGAGGAGAAAGCUACUGCAGUAGUAUCAAGGAGGUGAGAGGUGGGUGACUGCGGUGGCUUGAGUUUGUGCACCCAGUGGCAAUCCACACGGUGCUGUGCGUGGCAAGGCUGUACGUAUACGCGAAGGAGAGCGCACCGGACCGUUGAGUCCCGGCCUGCAAACUGUUAAGGGCACAGGGGGAUUGGCCGCGGAGCCUCUUAAGAAUAUGGCUGCAGCGACGUUUGGCCGCGGAGCCUCUUAAGAAUAUGGCUGCAGCGACGUUAUUCAAGAAAAAUUAUUGAAGAAAUUUUAUUGAAGAAACUUUAUUGAAGAAGCUUUAGCUUGAAUACAUUAAGCUGUCCCUCUCCUAUUUAUAUAGAUUAGGAGGGAAGAUUUUUUUCAACAGAAUAAAGGAUUUUCCUCAACACAGUAGAGAGAUUUCCUCGUAUAAUUUAGAAAAUCUUAUCUGCUACUAUCAAAAGGGACAAUAUUAAUAAUCUCAAAUAUUGUAUGUACUAUAUAGUAUCUUUGUAGACUAAGUUGUAUUUGUCCUAGUCAAUCAAGCAUCCUCCGUGAAUUGUUCCUAAUAGGUUAAGGAUCAGGUUCUUUGACCAUUAGAGAUAGAACGAGUCCAUUUUACACGUAGGUUUAGCUAUCUAUUCCAUCAUUACUUAUGCAAUACACGCAUUACAGAAGAAGUUCUAUCAGUUGACUUAUUAUAUACCGUUCCCUAUCUUUGAUUUGAACAUAUUCUAAAGGCUAUUUAUUUCUGCAAUAAGUGCAGCCUACCAAUUGCUCAAUUGAGAACAACCUGAGACUGCCAUGUACGCUUGCCAUGCAUGCAUGUAUGGAGAAUAAAAAUCUUUAGAUGGACUGAGCUGCAUAAAUAAAUGUAUACGUUGCACCCUCACAUAGAUGACUGAAAUAUUAAAACCAGAUGACAAAUGAGUGUUGUAAUCUAUUGAUCUCUCGCUUCUACAAGCAUGGUAGGUAGGUUCAAGUAGUUCAUUAUCAGACAUAAAGUUAUGAGUGAUGGAACCAUCGGCAGAGUUAUGAGUGCGAUCCUAAUGAUUUUGAAACUAAGAAUCCAAUACAAAUGAUCAGAAGUCGGGUCAUUCCUCCUAUAUGACAGAUCUAAUAAAACCAAUAAGAAAUUAGAGGGCAGAGAAGUCAACAAAAUCAUGAUGUCUGGGAUGGUGGCUGCAACUCUCAACACCCUAUCAACUUUUCUAAAAGUAACACAGAGAUCCGAAGUCGGGUCAUUAGUUGCGUGAGUUCUGAGCAAAGACUUGGUUGUGGAGAGGUCAUUAUAGACCCCGGCAAUGGGAAGAACAGAAGCAUAAUUAAACUGCCUCCAUGGAGGGUAGCAAGCAAACAACUUUGAGGUCUGCAGAGAAUCUCAGCCUCCCCUCAGUAUGAAAACUCUCUCUCUCUCAAUUCAUAGAUAUAUACAAAUUAUACUUUCUCAUGUUAUAAUCUUCAUCAAUCUCAGCCAGCAGACUGCAGUCGUUUGCCUUUAUUAUAAGCAACUUUCUAUGGCUGGAUACAAAGCAUUUAUGAAGUGCUGGAUCAACCAGAGACCCAUUUCUAAGCCUUUAGUGUGCUUGUUUUACUGUGUGUUUAAAGUGAGAUUUUAUAUACACUUCUCUUGCAGAUUUUAUUGGAUGCAUCAAUCUUUCAAAUUAAGUACCUCUGGCCUGCCAAAGUACAACACUGCUCAUUAGGAAUUCGUUGGUCAGGAAUCUAGAAUUACAAAAUAUGAUCAAUAGCAAGCAGUAGAUUUGACACCAAUCUUUGAUGUUGUUUUGAAAUUUCCAAACAAAGUUUAGGCUGGGCAGGUAAACAAAAGAUAGUGAAAUUUGUCCGAGUUUUUGUAGAUCCAACUCAUCAUGCAACAAAAGAACCAACCAUCCAAAACUCCCUUAUGAUUUUAUGUACUUGAAAUAAUGCAAAAAAUGACACAUUUUUGUCAAAGAAGAAUUCAUGUUACAGGUAACAUGUCUGUAUGUGACUAUGUGUACAGUGAAAGUUCGGAAUAGGUUGGUUAGAUAGCAUGAACCAUUUGAUUUGAAGGAAGCUAGUGUGUUGUUUAGGUCUAAUCUCUUUGUGAAACUUGAAUGCUUAAUAUGCUUGAUUAUCAAUGUUUCUUUUCAGUGAUUCAAACACGAUUACUAGGUCAUAUGAUUCAUUUGGUAGAUCACAUCAGACCAUUAUUUUACUUGAUUUUCUGUGUGGAAAAAUGUGUUUCUGGUUCCUGUCUCAAGUUUUUUUUGUCUCUCUCCAUAUGCAUUCAUCCACAGAUAUGGUUGAUCCAGUUUUUAUGUGUAUUUGUCAGGAUGCUCUUUUUCAAUUUUGUGAUGCAUAAUUUUAUAUAAUUGUAAUGUUAGAACAUUUACGGAUUUUAAACUUGGGUUGAUCUCUUUGGGGGAUCGGCUUCCUUAGAACUCUAGGGCGUUCCUUCCUCCAGAUUGCUGUUCUUGCUAAAAAGAUUUAUUUAUUUCUUGUGAAAAGAGGAUGAAUACAUGACUAUUUAUAGAGUUUCUAAACCUCAAUUCUUAAUAUAACUCAUACUCAAAACUCCUACUUCUAACUAACUCCUAAUGCUUGUAUAAGAAGCAACAUCCAAACUAAUCGCAUCCUUAGCCGGCUUCUUCACCUAGGCUAGAUAGAUUUUAUAUGAAUACCUCUUUCAAUGAAACUUAAUUAGGUUUCUCCUAACUAAAGUUCUAACGUAAGCCUAAUUCACAAGUUAUAUGGUUGUCAUCCUAGUUAAAAAUAAAACUAAAAGGAGAAAAAGAUGAAAAAUUGUUGACCUUGUUGAGCAACAAUAAUAUUCAGUUUACUUUGUCAGAAUAUUCACAUAAAACCUAUCUUCGGUACUUUGUAGUCUAUGAUAAUGGAAUGAUAGAAUCAAAAAGCCGCAAUCAGCAAAGUGGUAGAUGUCACACAACUUGCCAUGCAUUUGAUAUACGAUCCAUGCUAAAUUGAAUAACACUGGCGAACUCAGUCCUUUAAUGAAGCACUGCAUUUGGACACUUUGGCACCCCAGCUGCAGCUAAUAUAUGCUGCAUCCACGUAGUUUUCUUGACUCGAAAAGAGUUGCCAUAUAUUGUAGGUCCAAAUGGUUGUGAUGAAUGCCAGUGCGGACUGCAAUCACUGCAGGGAAAGGGUCUCCAAGGUUGUCUCCAAGAUGAACUGUAAGAAUUCAAGCAAAUAAAUGGAGGAAAUACUUCAUAUAUGUUCUUUUUCUAUCAGCAAAUUGUGAGGUUUUCCUUUUCUUCAUACUUCUGAAGUCAUUUGUAGCAGGACUGCUGGAUUACACGUUCGACUUGCGCAACAAAGAGGUGACAGUGACGGGGGUGGUUGUGGACACCAGAAACUGCAAGCAAGCCAAAGGAUCACUGCUUACCAAGAUAAAAAGAUAUCUUCAUGCUCAUUGGCCCUCUUUAGACUGAUCUGUUCUGCUGUGUUUGAAGUCUUCCACAAUGCGUAAUCCCACUCCAUUUAAAGCCUACUAUUAGGAAUUGGGAUCAUGGGCUGAUUUCAUAUAUAAAUCUUAUGUAAAAUCGUAUAUAUACUAUAAAAAAAAGAUUAUGAUAAGAUUACAGUCAUUGUAACUUUUCAUUUUAUGGAUAAAAUCCAUUCAUGUUACCAUGUCAAAAAGAAUGUGAAAAAGAUUUACUUUUAUUUAUUUUUAGAUAUUUUAUUAAAAUUUAAAAUUUUAAAGAUAAAAUCAAUUGAUAUAUUUGAUAAACUAAUAUAUUGUUAAGAUAAGAGACGCAGAAUGUACUUUAACCAAAACUUGAACUGUUGAAGGAUCAUAUGCAAUUCAAAAGUUGUGUCAAAAUAUUAUAACUAUAUAAAUCGAACGUUGAGGUAGAAUAUUGAUCGACAUGCUAGAGAUUAGACUUUAAGCUAAAAAUUCAAGUAUCACGUUGGAAAAUUAGAUUUUGUGAUGAAGUCGACAAAUCGAAGGAUUAGGCAAUGUGUUGGAGGAUAUGAUGAUAUAUCGAAGAUUCAAACAAAAUAUCAAAAAUUCGAAUGACAUGAUGAAUCAAUCUACUUGGACUAGGUCUCAUUUAAGUAUUUUUAUCCAAUAGCUAAAUAAAAAUUGUUCAUGUUUGCACAUUUUAAUUAAUUAUUCUUAACCUAUUGGAUUGCACAAUAGCAAUGAACAAAUGACUAACGAAAUGAGAUGGCUUACUCGAGGCCCUAAUAAUGUGGGAAGAGAAUUUUAAUGCUUCAUUUUUCAUUAGUGUUCGGUUCCAAACAAGAGACCAUGAAAAGUAUAAAUUAACUCAAAGUAGCGGUAUUGUCAACAUCAUAAAGAUUUCAAGCUAUGCAAGCAUAAGAGAUAAAAAAUCUACACUAGAUAGUAGAAUUGAACUAUUAUUAUCAAUUCAAAGUGGCUCUCUUCAAAUGUUAUUGGGUUGAUAUUGAACAUGGAACUAGUAAUUUUUUAAAAAUUAAUACACACUGAAAAAACAAUUUAGUGAUGAUUCAUUUGUACUAGUCUCCUAAGUUUAACAAGUGUUUUAUAUUUAAGAUGUAUUAGAGGGAAAUUGAUGGGUACCUAUCAAGACAAAGCUAAGGAAUUUGAUUGACCUAGGAAUUAGAUGAGAUUGAGCAAUGUAAAUAUCCUUGUGGACUCAAUAUUGGAUGCCACCAUCACAGACACUAAGAUGAUUUUAGUUUAAUAAGAGAUGCAAUAUUAGUGCUUGACACGAUAUAGAAGAAUCAUAUAAAUAAUUCUGUUGAAGAUAACAAUAGUGAUGUUGAACAUAAUAUGUGAAUUUAUGACAUACAUUGGCUUGUGCUUAAUUUGUAAUUAUCUGUUUUCUAUGUUUUCAUGCAUUACAGUCCCAAGCAUUAAUUUUGGUAAUUAUCAUAUUAGAUGGUGAAUGCUAUUUAGUUUUUUAUAUUGUUCAUGUAUCAUUUCUUUAUAAUUUAUUAGUUUAUAAUCUUUGUCACACGGUUUUUCACAAAUACUAUUGGUGUUUAUCAAUUCAAUUUAAUUAUUGACUUCAUAGGAGAAGACUAUAUAUGUGCGGUUACGAUGAAGACAAGAUUACAAUCUCAUGUUCAAGCUCAAAUAAAGAAUAUAUUAGAGAAUACACAAAUAAAUUCGAGCGUUGAGGAAAGACAUUCCUAAGGGGAUGAUUUUGAAAUGACUAUAGUCUAUUAACUAUUAUAUUAUAUUCAAAUGAGUGUCUGCCUUUUUGUUAUGAUAAAUUAUAUAAAAAAAAGGAAUAAAUGAUUCUGCCUUUUCGUUCAGGAAAGACACUCACUUAGCUAAUGUAUGAAAUUUACCAUAAGGAAUGUAUCGUAGUUCAAUUAGAUAUAAAUUGUUAGAUUAUGUAAUUCUUUGUAAUUGGAUAAGAUAUAUAAUAGAAUUAAUUGGAUUAUGAUGAUAGAUAUUAGUGAAUAUAAAAAAGUCUAUAUUAUUAUAGAAUUCCUUAGGGGAUGUUCUUGAUAGGAGAAACUUUCCUAAUAACUUAUAUAUAUUAUAUAGGAUGUAAUAAUAAUGGUCAUACGAAACGAUAAGAAGAGAGAAGAAGAAACGUCUAGUUAUCCUUACAUAUCAACGUCACUGUGAUAUUUAGAUUCGAAAGAUAGUACAUUUACAAAUCAGAUAAAGAUCUUUUUUAGAUGACAUCAAAAGAUACAUAUUGUGAAUAUGAUCUUAAUGUUAUUUAAUUUUAAUCAUGAAAAUUUUCUAUAUAACUUAUAGCAUAUUAUAGAUUUUAUACUUACAAUACUAAUUAUAGAUCUAUUAACUGAUAUUAUAACAAGUGUCUGAUUCUAUAUAUCUUUUUAUUGUGAUAAAUUGUACAGGGAAAAAAAGAACGAGAGGAUGCAUUGGCUUAGUUAACAUGAAGAGUUUACCACCUAGGAAAGAACUUUAUUAGGUAAAUUAAAUGUAGAGAUGGCACAUAUCAAUUAAUUCAAAAUGGAAGAAUCGAAAAAGUGACUUAAAAUUCAUUUAUUAUGAUAGCUCGUUGAAGUCUAUAUCUUAUCAUUUAAAAAAUAUUUUUUAUAGAAUUAAUAAAAACCAAUGGGCUAGUCUUAUUACUCAUUGAAACUUAGAGGAAUGACAAAUAUAUAAUACUCUUGAAUUUAUUUCAAUCAAAUAUUUCAGCAUCAUUUUGUGUAUGCAAAUAUCAAUUUUUUGUAUUGUAAUUUUUAUAUUAAUUUUAUGGUAUUUAAAAUAUUUUUUUAGAGCCUUAGUAAGAGAAAUAAGGUUAAUAGAUCAAAACAAAAAAUAUCACAUACUUUAGGGAAGAAAAGUUAUACUAGGUUGAUUGAUGAAAAGGUAAGGAAAUUUUUUUAUAAAUAUUUGAUAUAUUUUAUAUUUAUUAAUAAUAUUAUAUUUUUAUGUUUUGUUACAAAGCCAAGAUAGGGAAGAAGUUAUUUAAAGAUGAUAUUUUUAUCAUUAAUCAUGAAAGAAAAAUGAUAAAAUGCCAAUAGAUGAGGAUGAAGCAAGAGUAAUUGUACGUAUCACUCAAUCAUUCCAUUACUUUUAUGGUUCUUAUUAUUAUUUUUGAUUUUUUAUUGAUAAUAUGUUUGUAUUUAUUAUAGAAACAAAUGAAGAAUCUUAGGACACAUCUUGAACUCAUAGCAAUUGAUAUUCCAUUAAGUGAAGAUAUUAUUUCUCAAGUAUUAGGAUUAGAGAAAUCAGGAUAUAUGUGAUGUUAUGGCAUAAGACCAUCUCAUUCAAAUUUUGCAGUAUCCAAAUCUCAUCGUUUAAGAUUUAUGACUACAUAACUUGAGAAGGAGAAAGAUGAAAAAAAUUGACAUCAAAGAAAAGCUUGAAAAAAUACUCAAGAUAUGAAAGAAAUGUGAGUUCAAUUGUAAAUACUUGUGGAUGAAAGUGCAUCUCGAAACGAUAAUAUAUGUAAAUUUUAAAAACUUCUUUUAUUAUAUGAUUUUUUAUUUAAAUCUAUGUAUCUAAUUAUUAUUAUUCACUCCAUUCAUGCGUUGACUAGGAAGUAUAUUUUUUGUACUUUUUUUGAUAUUAUGAUACUCAAAACCUACAAAAGAAUAAUAGUUCUUUAUUUGCUUUUGUAUAUGAAAUUGGAUGUACUUGAAUAUUGGUACUAUGAUUUAUAUAUAAAUUGAUAUAGUUGAUGGAAGAAUAUUAUCUUUCUUUUGUGAAUUGUGAGCUACUAUUGUGGCUAUCCUUCAUUUGAUAAAAGUAUCUAUUUAUGUAAUUGAAUAAUAGCAUAAUGUAAAAAUAUCCUUACAUUAUUAUUCUUUGAGUAUGGAGGGAUACAAAAAGUUUUUGCAAUUUUUACAAGAGUAUGAGCUUCAAGGUUAGAUUGUCAAUUGGUAUAAAUAUCAUUGUAAAUAUUAUGUAGGAACCAAGGUAUUAGUUUAUUGUAGUUAAGUAUUUAAAUCAUUUCAAGUGCAUAUAAUAUUUUUGCUUCAUUGUAUAGCCUAUCUUAUCUUUGUAUAGCAUAUAAGGGGUUGGAGGCAGGUUGAGUUUUUUUAUCCAAGGAAGAUGAUAAUAUCUAUAAUUCUCGAAACAAAAGUCGAUACUUACAAUAAAGGAGUCAUUAGUAAAUGAAUCAUCAUAAAUUAAUAAUGGCAUUGGCUAUAAGAUCAUGAAAAGAUGGAGGAAGAACUUGAGAAAUCUUAACAUAGGGUUUCUAUUAGUAUAGGGUUAAAACCUUCAACCUUCAAUCUUAAUAUAGAGAACUUAUUAUUUACAUGACUUUCUUCUUUUAGUGGAGCACCAUUUUAUAAUUCAUGUAUGUAGUUAAGAUAAAAUUUAUAUUUAAUUAUAUCAAAUCUUAAAGAUCUCUUGCGAAAUGAUAAGAGAAAAAAAAUAUGGUUAAAUGAGUUUUAACCCCCUCUAUAAAUCAUAAUAAUGUGAGUAAAUGAUUUCAUAAUAAUUUUUACAAGAAAAUUAGAUACUCGAACAGAUAUGAGUAAAUGAUUCUAUAAUAAUUUUUAUUAGAAAAUUUUAACUUUCGAAAGAAUAUUUAGACUCCAUACAAACUUUCAACAUUCUCAAUAAGUAAUUUAAUCAUUUUACCUUUUCCUUAUCUGCUCGUAAAUAUUUUUAAAAAUAACAAAUCUAGAAGGGUGUAAGCUUCAUAAAUGAAUACUAUUAUAUUUAAUUAAAUGUGGAUAAAAAUAAAUAUUAGAUUUUUGUCGAAUGUACAUUAUAUAUAUAUAUAUAUAUAUAUAUAUAUAUAUUACUUUGUUAGAAUAAAACUUUGUUGCUCUUAUGUUUAUUGUCCAUAUAUAUAUUUUUUGGUAAGUUGUUUAUUGUCCAUAUAUGACUACAAUUGAUUGCAAUUCACUUAUUCAAUUAUUUGGACAUUUUACUCAUUCGAGAUUCUAUUAAGAGAGUAAAUCAUAGAGGUUGCAAUUGGAGACUACUUACCCCUACGUAUGGUCUUUAUGAUAAAUUAAAAUUGAAGUAUCUCGAAUAUUAAAUAUCUAUUAUAUACCUAACCCCAUAGAAAGAUCAUUAACUUUUAACUCAUCAUCUUCAUUAUAUGAAACCAAAGCAUAUAUAUAUAUAUAUAUAUAUAUAUAUAUAUAUAUAUAUAUAUAUAUAUAUAUAUAUAUAUAUAUAUAUAUAUAUNNNNNNNNNNNNNNNNNNNNAUAUAUAUAUAUAUAUAUAUAUAUAUAUAUAUAUAUAUAUAUAUAUAUAUAUAUAUAUAUAUAUAUAUAUAUAUAUAUAUAUAUAUAAAGAAAAAUACAUCUAAAAUUUAUACAUUUUUGAACACAUAUAUUUUUUAUUUUUUAUUACAAAAUUAAGUGAUGAAAAUAAGAUUUGAGGUUACGACGAUUAAUAAAAUAUUUUAUAAAUUAAAUUAGUUAAUAUAUUUGUUAAACAUAUAUAUUGAAUGAGGAUGAUUAAUCAAAAAGAAAAUCUCAAAUUUGUAAGUAUUCUCAGUUUGCAACCUUAUUUCGAAAUUGUUACAUAGUAUGUAUCCCAUAUUUAUAUAUGCGGAUAAAAAUAUUCAUAUUACAAAUAUUAAUGCUGGAUUUUUCAUCAACAUCCAAACUGGUCUGGACCAUCACAACUUGUCUCACCUCUUCUUUGAGAUAGAUGAUCAUAAAUGUCAAUCCUAUUAUUCGCAUUAUUUAUAAUCUCUGCUUCCCCGUCACAAUCUACCAAAAGAGACCCACCUCACCCUUUUUCAGUAACCAGAUCUCUCUCUCUCUCUCUCUCUCUCUUAUGAUCCUUUUUCGCUCACUGGCUGUCAUCAUGUCCCUCAGGAACCUUUGGCACCCCCCACUAUAUCUUUCACCUCUAAAGGUCGCUCCUUUCCCUCUCACCUUCCUUUCCACUCCUUGCAUCCACCCAUCCAUCCUCCACUUUUAAGUUUCUGCCAUGGCUACCGGAGAAGAACCAUCAGAAUCCCUCACAUGCAAGGUACUAAUCUACCAUCCAUCCCUCCAUAAUUCUCCUUCUAAAAGCUUUUGGAAUGAAAAUUAACCAUGCUGUUUUGCCUGCACACUUUUGGUGCUCGAAUGAAAUAUUUGAUGGCUUCAGACCUGGGUGUUGAGAGUAUCCAUCCAUUGUGAAGGAUGCAAGAAGAAGGUUUAUAGAAUCCUCAAAAGCAUUCGAGGUAACUUCCAAAAUAUUUUGCUCUUCUGCUUUCUUUUGCCAUUUAGCUUCACUCUGUUGGGCUAAUCAUCCGGUUUCUUCUUCUUCUUCUUCUUCUUCUUCGUUGCAGGUGUAUAUGACACGGAUAUCGAUGCGGGGCAGCACAAAGUCACCGUUAAGUCUAUUGUGGACGCUGAAACGCUCAUUAGGAAGCUAGAGAAGUCCGGGAAACACGCCGAGCUAUGGCCGGUGAAGAAACCCAGCAACCAGAAACCCAGCAAUGUCAAUACCAGCAAUAAGGAGAGCGGAGAAUCCUCUAAACCCGAAGAACCGUCACGCAAGUCCGAGAAGAAGCCAAUCCCCUCCAAGCCUAACCCUGCCGCUUCUUCCGCCACCGACACCACCGUCGCAAAACUUUCAGAUGCUGAGAAAACUCAAGUCAAAACCAAAACCACAGCAGAGCCGUCAGAGAGCGCCACGAAAGAGCCUCAGGGUUCUGGUACAAAGAAGGCUGACGCCUCCACCCAGCAGCCUAAGAAGCCCGCCGCCACCGCCGGCGGCGAAGCGAAUGGCGACAAUGGCUGCGCCAAGAAGAAAGGCAAGAAGGCUCAGAAAGAGAUCUCGGAAGAGGCUGGGAAGAAUCCGAAUGCUGGCAGCGUCAGUUCACUGCCACCACAACACAUGUACUCAUACCCGACACACCCACCGCCGCCGCCGCCGCCGUACGUCAUGAGCUACAACAUGGCGGAACCGAGCGUUACCCAAGCCUACUAUGCUUCGCCAAAGCCGCCGGCUUCAGACGGCUUUGUUUACAUGCCGUACCCUCCUCCGCCAGAGUUCUACCCUGGUCCAUCCGACCCGAGCUCACCGGUGCUGAUGCAGCCCAACAUGUUCAGUGACGAGAACUCCAAUUCCUGUAAUCUUAUGUGAGCAUGCUCCAUAGUAUCCUUUCCUCGGAGUCCAGUGAGGUCAUAGGUGGUGGUAGACUAAUCCAUGUGUAGAUAUGUCAGACUACUUGGUUGGUUGUGUCAUCUCCUGCUGCCAGUGUGAGUAGUGUGCUGCUCUCUUGUGAAGGAGAUGUUGCAGUUAGCAGUUUCCUUCCUCGGUGGUUGUGUUUGUAGCUAUUAGUGCCCCCUUGUGAUCGGAGGAAAACCAAGUGUUAGGAAAUCCUGCUGCAGGAUCUCGAACGAGUCCCUCCUCGUUUUCUUCUUUGGUGAUACGUUUUCCUCGAUUUCCUUUUUCUCUGACAUGGUGUGAAGGCUCUUUGGCUGUAAUGAUUGCUUGUUUGUCUGCAGAGAUUAUCCUCUGAAAGAUUACUGCUCUGUUCGGAGCAUGUCUGAGGCUUGACAGGGGAGCAUGACCUAAUUCUGUCAGACUAAGCUGAGCUUAUCUGUUGCUUCAGUUUGACUAGCUCGGGGAGAGGGAAGUGGUAAUGCUGGGAGUGAAGGGUACUGGCUGCCAUGUCAAGUUCACCAUGAAUGACGGAGAAGCAGAGAGGUUGGUGGAAUAAUGCAGGGACCACAUCUGGAAUUGGGCCCAAGAGUUUCUGCUGUCUUUCCCAUGGUGCUGCUGGAAUCACAGAGCUGAAGUGCUGCACUGCAGUUUGCAAGCCCUUUCUGUGCAGAUCAUCCUGGCCGCAUAAACAAGCAUCAAAUCUUACCAAUGGUGAGAGAGGAGGAGGAAGCUUCCAGGUUUGGAUUAGUUCGGAGUACAAGGGAAUUAUGACUCAUCUUCUCCACCAAGACAUAGUUGGUAGUCUCCAAGAAAACGACGAGUCCAUAAUCUUUCCCUUUCACCAAACACGAAGAAGAGGUUAAUGACAACUGAUACGACCAAAAUAAUUACCUUCUAUCACCAAACACGUAUCAUGGUAUGAGAAGAAAUUGCUUAACUGGGGUCGUAUUUAGCAAUGCAUCGAUCCAAGAUCGGUGACAUGAGCAUUAUCUUGCGGGAGAAGAUAAGAUUUUUCUAGAAAAUCUCUUUACUCGAUAUUUACUCGAUCGAGGAAAAUUUUUUAUUCUAUUGAAGAAAUUUUUUUUUCUUAAUAUGUAUUUAAUAUUCAAGUUAAAGUUACUUCAAUAAAGUUUCUUCAAUAAUUAUUCUUUAUCUUCUAUUUUUUUUUAUUUUGAAUCUUAAAAAAACUUAAAUUUUCUUAAUUUCGUUAUUCAAGUCUUUUUUCAGUAUAAGGAUGUAAGAAACUAUUAUGGUCUCAUCCAUCAAUGUAUUUACUCCGCUCUUAUCAUCAUUUUUUAGUCUAUCUAAUCCUUCUCUGCCUUCAUCAUCCAUUCCUUGGGAUGGAGCUCAAACCUCACUUUUGGGCCUCCUCGGAUUUGGGUUCGAUGUCAUUGGCAUAGGGGUCAAUCUUGUAGUGAAACCACCGAAUAUACUCAAGCUUCUAAAAUAUUCAAACAACGAUGGCCGUCUUUGGUUUACAUUGUUGACUCUCAAGUGUCGUAAUUUGCUCAUUCAAGUUGGAGGAGUCGAAAGCUUCAAAUCUACACAUGCUUUUACAUGAAGGUUUCUAUAAAUACGAGCCGUCAUGAUACAUAUCUAUUUGAAGACCGAACCGAAACAAAGUAACCCGGUUUACUGGUUCGGCUGCUUCGACCUCGGUUUAAGAUUUUACCGUUCAAAUUAACCGGUUCAUCUGAUCGGAAGAAUCUUACUUCUUCUUAGAUAACGUAAUACACACGCCGAAUCCUGACUUAACACCGAGGGCCGGUCGAACAAUUAAACCGGGCCGGAUCGAACCCUAAACACAGUAAACCCUAUAUCUUGACACUCGACUCCAGAUCUCCAAACGCCGCCGCCACCUCCGCGAGGAAAACCCUAAUUCUUGGUCUAUAUAAAUAAGGGAUUCAUGAGAGACGAACGUUGUCCUCGGGUUUCCUGUGAUCUUGUUUGGUUUCGCCAGCGUCUUUUGGUUUCCUCUCGCGGAAGCUCUGUAUAAGAUUUAGAGAUUUUGCUUGUCUCUCCAUCAAAGUGGAGGUUGCUGUGACGAAUCUGGAAAAUUCAAGCUCAACAGACCGGAUCGCAGGUCUCGCUUUCUGGAGGGAUUUGUAUGUCGACUGCCCCGCUGAACUGAACAAGCUCCCACAUUCCUUUUUGUUUUCAUUCGUGAUUUCUCAAAAAUCUAUAUUUUCAUCUAUUUGAUGCGGCUUUUUGUGUUCUUACGUCUAUGUAAUUAUCCCUCUUUGGUGCCCGAGGCAGAGGGUGGCUGAUUUCUUGCGAGUUGUUUCCUUUUUCGUCAAAAAAGAUUUUUCAAAAUCUAUAUUUUAGCCGAUUUUGUGUUAUACAUCACUAUUUCUCGGAGAUUUGUGCGUCGAAUAAAAGAAGAUCAAACCUUCCUUUAUUGAGUUUUGAUACGGCGGUAAAACUCGCAGCUCUUUACGGUUUCAUGUUGUUGUUGUUGUUUGAUAAAUCGGAUUGUAGAUCUCCCUCUCAUUGAUUGAGGGAUUUUGGUCGGCUUUGACGCGUUUUGUUACUUAGCUUUCUCUCAUGAAGAUAACAGAGCUCCCUCUUCGGAAAUGCGACUUUGAGGACGCUCGCUGGCAGAGUCGAACCAUUAUUUAAAAUCGCCAUCACUGAGACUUUCAUGUUUUAUUUAUUUUUUAAGAUCUAUUUAAUCUGUUUGAUAAAUUAUAAUUAUUUUGAUGGAAAAAUGGUACGUCUUUUUACACUUUUUUUCUUUCAGCUAAAUGUUCGAAUCAUUUGCAACCUAAAAGAUAGUGAUGAAGUAAAAAGAUCUAUAUCCAACACUUGAUCUGAGGAUCAAAGAUUCCACUGAUGUAACAUUUCUUUUGCUUCUGAAUCUGAAUCUACUUGCUUUUGUCACUUUGAUUUCAAUGGAGAAGUUUGUUUUUUUAUCACAAUUUUGAUCUGUGGAAGUAUUUGUGCAAUGCGUCAGAUGAUGAAAGUUUGAAGUGUAAUCUUAGGACACCUUCCUACACUGCCCAAGAUUUCCUUGGGUUGUGGAUGAGAAAAACAUGUUCAAUCUGAUGAUGGUCAUGGCCUUCCGAAACACUUUUAAUUGAUUAUAUAUCUACGUUUUGCACUAUACGCUUCUUGAAUCAAUAUUGUUAAUAAUAUAUUCGGAAAUGAGGCUGUUUGUAUUCACGUGCAUAAAGCAGAUAUUUAUUCAGUAUCUGUUUGAUGUCCACAUUUUUGUAGAGAUAUUAUGAUCCUUUGCAAUUGUCAUUUUUUAAUCAAAAACCUCGUAUAACAAUUUCUGAUGUGCCUUACUCUAAAAAUUUGCAUGCUGGUCUUCUUUACUCGUCUGAACUAGGAUGUUUAGAAAAGUUGUAUGUGUCGGCUUAUGAUGAUAUGCUUAUAAAAGUUGGAAUUACCGACUGAUAAACCUAUUGUAUGAUGUCAAUUGAUCUGGCUGUCUGAGGCUGAUACUAUUAUCCAGCAUUGUAUUAUGAAGUCUUUAUUCUUCUUUGUACAUGGAGUAUUAUUUUUUCUUUGGUUUUCUCACAAAGGAUAAAGAAUUGCAUACACAAAGCAAUGCUUAUGUUUUUGGUUGUUGUAGCUUGUCACUGUGAAAUAUUUUGGCAGUCUAAUAUGUAGAAAUUUUAUUCAUGUUAUUUUAAUUGAUGUUUUAUUUGUCAUGCUUUAAAUUGUGAAUUGGAGAAAGUUUUUAAUUAUUUAGUAGGUAUCAAUUCUGAAGAGUUUAUGGAUCCCAAUGAAGAUGAAAUGGCCUCUUGAUAGGAAGUGCCGUAUGACACUUGUAAUGCAGUUGCCUGUCCAGUCCUUGGCUCUUUCUCCUCUUGACCAUGCCUCCCUCAAAUCCUACCAUAGGUUUGAGUUUCCGGGGUGUUGUUCAAAGGGGAAUUUGAAGUUCAAUGGACUUGGAGUUCAGCUGUGUGUGUGAUUUUAAAUCGGUCACUGAGGGCUCUUUUAACCUGUUGAAAGUUACUCCACUUUCAUUGGUUUUGAAUAUCCUUUCUUUGGCAUUUUGCAUGUUGAUAGGAAUCUGUGGUCAAGAUCACUGUCCAUCCAUGGAGUUGAUUUCUGUGAUCACAGAUAGUGAAUGUUUUCUGUCAUUUGUUAUUUUAGAAUGCUGUUUUCUAUAUGGUCUAGGCAAUGCCAUUUGUUUUAUCUGUUAUGCAACUCGUUAUUGUUGUUAUAUUUGAUAGUCGGCUAUGCCAUGCAACUCUUAUUGUUCAUGUUUUUGUCAUAUCCCAUUAUCUUAUAAGCUACUGGUCUUGUAGCAAACCUAAAGCUUUACAGAGAUAAAAGUAAGUAGGAAUUAGUGGAUUCCCAUUUGCAUGAUGAUGGCUUACCUGGUCAUUGUUAGUUCAGAGAUAAAAAAAACAGUAAAGGUUUUUUAUGAAGGCUUUACAGAGAUAAACCUAAAGCUUUACAGAGAUAAAACCUAAAGGUUUUUUAAGGUUCAGAGAUAAACCUAAAGCUUUACAGUGGUAAAAGCUUUACAGAGAUAAAAAAAACAGUAUUAUGAAGGCUUACCUGGUCAGAGAUAAACCUAAAGCUUUACAGAGAUAAAACCUAAAGGUUUUUUAAGGUUCAGAGAUAAACCUAAAGCUUUACAGUGGUAAAAGCUUUACAGAGAUAAAAAAACAGUAUUAUGAAGGCUUACCUGGUCAUCGUUAGUUCUAUCAAAUGUUGGUUCAACUCUUAUUGCAUGUCUCUGUAACUGAUAUUUUAGUUUACUGUCAUUUGACUAUAAGGGUUGAAAUGUUCAAUUUUUAUUGACAUUAAUACCCUUUAGAACUUUGUCAAAUGAUCACUCUGUUUAAACUCCAAUAAUUUCUUAUCAGAUCAUAGAACUCUUAAUUCUUUCUAUUAUUGGUUUGAGUUCAUUGAUACUUCUGGGAUGAAGAAACUGUAUCCUGCAAGUGACGACAAGAUAGACAGGGACAUCUAACUCUUUACAGAGAAUGAUGACUUGGUCUAUGGGAAUCUCUCUGAUGCAUGAGACUGUUUUCUCCCCUGUCUAUUCUGUAUUUUGUGACUGUUUUUCUUCGAUGGCAUGAUGCUUUUUUGGUGCAUCUAUUCAAUAGGCAAUUGUAAUUGUAUCAUAUAAGUUCUGCCUGUGAUGCACAAAAAGUGCACGUAUUAUCAGAGGUGAUUAUGACUUUUUUUUCUCCUUUUGACCAUGCCUCCCUCAAAUCCUACCAUAGGUUUGAGUUUCCGUGGGCGUGUUCAAAGGUGAAUUUGAAGUUCAAUGGACUUGGAGUUUGGCUGUGUGUGUGAUUUUAAAUGGGUCACUGACGGCUCUUUUAACCUGACCAAACUUAAUCUGCUUUCAUUGGUUUUGAAUAUCCUUUCUUUUCUAAGGUGUGUUUUUUUAACUUUGUGGUCUGAAGCCAUGUCAACAGUAGCAUAUGCAUUGACUGGUGGUGCUAUGAUCGGGCCCAAAUUAAGUCCUGAUUUGGCAUGUUGCAUGUUGAUAGGUAUCUGUGGACAAUCACUGUUCACCCAUGGAGCUGAUUUUGUGAUCGCAGAUAGUGAAAGUUUUCCGUCAUUUGUUAUUUUAGAAUGCUGUUUUUUUUAUAGUCAGGCAAUGCCAUUUGUUUUAUCUGUUAUGCAACUUGUUACUGUUGUUAUAUUUGAUAGCCCGCUAUGCCAUGCAACUCUUAUUGUUCAUGUUUUUGUCAUAUCCCAUUGUCUUAUAAGCUACUGGUCUCGUAGCAAACCUAAAGUUUUAAAGAGCUAAAAGUAAUUAGGAAUUAGUGGAUUACCAUUUGUAGAAAUUAUCCUGCAUGUUUGUAUUUGAUUUGCUGAUAUUCAGGAAUUGGGCUUACCAGGUCAUUGUUAGUUCUAUCAAAUGUUGGUUCAACUCUUAUUGUGUGUAAACUCUUUAGAACUUUGUCAUUAUGAUCACUCUGUGUAAUGUUAAAUUUUUAUUGAGAUUAAAAACCCUUUAGAACUUUGUCAAAUGAUCACUCUGUGUAAACUCCAAUAAUUUCUUAUCAGAUCAUAAGAACUCUUAAUUCUUUCUAUUAUUGGUUUUUGAGUUCAUUGAUACGUCUGGGAUGAGAAACCGUAUCCUGCAAGUGAUGACAAGAUAGACAGGGACUCGGCACUCUUUACAGAGAAUGAUGACUUGGUCUAUGGGAAUCUAUCUGAUGCACAAGAUUGUUUUCUCCCCUUAGUCUAUUAUAUAUUUUUUGACUAUUUUUCUUCUACAGCAUGAUGUUUUUUGGGUGCAUCUAUUCGAUAUGCAAUUGUAAUUGUAUCAUAUAAGUUCUGCCCGUGAUGCACAAAAAAUGCACGUAUUAUCAGAGAUGUUGUGAUGAUAUAUUAGUUGUCACUACCGCUGAGGCAGUCAAUUUGAAGUGAUGCUAUUGCAUCUCUAGUUCAUUACUUCCUUUUUUGUUGGUUUGUUUGUUUGUUGAUCUGAGCUAGUAUGCAUUGAUCAUUUGAAUGAUAACUUGGUUCAUGCAUUGUCUUAACUAUGCAAAAAUUGUUUUUGUAAAACACUGUGACAAUGAAGUAUUAUUUUUGUAUAACACCCUGUCAUCUUUCAAGAUUCCACUACCUUAUAUAUGCGAUGUUCAUUUUAAUGUUCUGUGAAACUUUUGAUUUUAGGAUCUAAUCCACUUUUUAAACUCGUAGUACCUGAUUGGUUCAUGCAAGACUUGUGUCUUGCAUUUUCCUGUGAAUGAUUAGUGCCUAUGAUGGUUUUAAAUAUACUACGAGUGACUACAAUGAUAAGGACUUUAUCUGAGGCACAAUCAUCUGGUUUCACUUAUUUUUAUAGGUUAUUUGUAUUUUAAAUGUUUGUCUUUGUAAUAUGAGUAAUUUAGUUGGUGUUGUAUCUGCAAACGAACUUUCGAUGUGGGUUUUUCGUUCGGGAGCAUGUGGCAGGGUUCCUCAAGUUUUUAGUUUCAAUGCCUAAUUCUUCUGCCAUUAUUCUAGACCAAAUUAGUGUCUUACAGUCAUGCAAAUUAUUUGCAAUCCUUGUUUUAUCAUUUAAAUGUGUUUUAUUAUUUUUCCUUUUUUAUAUUUUUCGUGGAAGGAUUUCAUAGGGCCGCUUAACUUAGUAGGAUGGUUUCUUUGAAUGUUUGAAAUGUUCAUAUUUGUUAUUAUGACAUGAAUUUUUAAUGCUGAUUAUAAAAUUUGGCUCAGAUCUUGGUUAAGUGCCAAUUGCCAAGCACAAUGUCAUCCAGAUUUGGGAUCAACCACUAGGACUUGUUUCAAAGCUGGUGUGUUCACAAAGCAGAGAUUCUGGAGUUAUGUUGGCGCUGCUUUUAUCAAAAGAUUGUCAUAAAUAUCUAAAUUCAUGAUAGUAAUUUAUUUUGCUUUACAGUUUUAUGUUGACAUCUAUUUGUUUAAUGUAUUUUACAGCUAAACGAUCUUUGAAUAAGAAACUUGUGAAUAAAUUUAAAAUUUCUCAAAUAAUAAUUUUACUAAUAAUAUUUAGCUAUCUAUAACAAUAUGAAUGGGUCACACUUAUCCAAGAUGACAAAUGUUUAUAUGUUUUGUGUUUAUCAUCAUAUGAACGCUUAAGACAAAUUUUCUGAUAUAUGGAUUUUUCUAUAAAUUUUGGGUUUUGUGAUGUUAACUUGCAAUAAUAACCAAAAUUUAUCUAAUGCCAAUUGAAAUAUCUCCAUUUAUAUCGUCCGUGGUUUGACAACUGAUGUGUUGAGUUGAGAUUUAAUGUGGUGUUUAUUUUUAUUAGUUGGAAUUGAUAUUGGGAUGUUCAUAUGCAAGGUAUCAUCAUCAGCUGCUAACUUGUGAUCCAGCGUUGGCAUGAGUCAAUUGACAAAGUCAACCCAAAAGUUGAUUGAAGCUGAUAUUUAAGGAAAAUAAUGUCGGUAUAAUAGCAUUAUAGGUAUAUGUACUCUAUGGGGAGUAUGAGGUGAGAUCUUUGUACAUUGUAUCUAUCCUUAUAUAAAUGCACGUCAUUACAUCUUAACAUUUAAAUAUUCCACUUGAUUAUUACCAUUUUUAAUUUCUUAGCCAGGUAAAUAGAUAUAACAUGCCAAAUAACAACCCUUCUCAUGUUUGUGAAAG